rnacentral:lncRNA from 1 species
UCCCUCUGUUGGGUUUUGGGAUCGUCACUGGAUUUUAGGCAGCCGAUGUGAAAGCUUGUCCUAAGAUGACCUCUGAUGAUCACAUUGCCACUGCUCUUACCAAACCAAUCUCUCUAGGUUUGAUGAUCUUCUGCUCCUCCUCUUCAUCAAUCGUCAGUUCUUUAGACAAGUGAAUGACCACCGACGUUAUCGCCGGAAAGAAGAAAGCAUCAGAGACAAGGAGAGACACAAGGCGCUGAUCGGUAUCGGAAUAAAGAUCUUUUGUCAUUCAUGAAAACCCUACAAUUGUCAGUGUAGGAAGUAUGAACUCGGUGUUCUCUAGCCAAUGCAUGAUCCUGAUCCAUGUUUGAUUGUUCAUUGUAGAGCUCUGCUACAGCUUUGUGCCCAAGUUAUCCGGGGAUUGACCUUUUUAGCGUAGACAAAGGUCCUGGCACCGCUCGCAGACUCUGAUUUUUCACCCAUUGUCGAAAUUCACAUUUUAUUUAUUCCUAUAUAUACAUAUGAUUCAGUUGUAAUCAUGACUUUUGUACAGCUAUGGUAUAACUUGAGCCUUUCUGUAACAUCUUUUCUACUCCCUCCGUUCCUAAAUAAUUGUCUUUCUAGAGAUUUCAACAAGUGACUACAUACGGAGCAAAAUGAGUGAAUCUAUACUCUAAAACAUGUCUACAUACAUCCGUAUGUUGUAGUCCAUUUGAGAUGGCUAGAAAGACAAUUAUUUGGGAACGAAGAAAGUAAUUUACAUCUUGUCACCGCGUUACUGUUAAUAUAUGCCUCUUUUUUAGAAAAGGAGGAUGAGCCCCGGCCUCUGCAUCUGGUUGAUGCAUGCGGACACUUUAUUAAUUAUUUUCACAAGACCUUAUAAAGUCAUACGACAGUAAGACUGAAGCCACCGUCUAAGCAACAACUGUCGCUACACCUAUCCAAUUGAUGAAGGGGCGUUGAUAGUCUAAGCAACAACUGUCGCUACACCUAUCCAAUUGAUGAAGGGGCGCUGAUAGUCUGAGCCUAAUACCAAACAGACAUCGCAGACAAACCUAAACAUCUAAGACCUGAGGUCCCAACCAGGACGCCUGCCUGGUAUGGGGCACCUACCAGUCCGGCGCACUCCUCAACCAGGACGCCUGCCGGGUAUGGGGCCGCCGCAGCCACCUGUCAUGAGUCCAUCUUCAGAGUUGUACUGUUGCAUCUAUCGUGCCAGGUCUCUCAGCCAUCGACGCCACCACGACGCCGGACAGCGUCGUCCUCCUGCGUGAGUCCAUCCUCCCACAUCGAACUCCGAAUCUGCACUGCGCCACGCCGUCCAGAUCCGUCGCCAUUAAUGUAUGGAUGAAGCACCGCUCCACCAAAGAAGCCGUUCGCUGGUCCCGCGAAGCCGAGUGCACCUCCAAGAAUGCCGCCCCCAAGGGGGUUACGACACAUGAUUGCCGCCAACAUCCGAUCAGCUGAUCUAGGGUUUUCCCCGGAGGUAUUGAGUGGAGUUGGGAGCUUCACCUCGAUGAUGCCUUCAUGAAGGAAACGAUGAUAAGGGCAUCGUCAUCACCGGCUCCGGCCACCGACUGAAGAUCUGGUUUUCACCCGGAUCCGUCCCAAGAAAUCCACCCAACAACAUGUGCACCGUCUCGACCGCCUUCAAAGCCCCAGAUCCAGCCGCCUAGAUCCGGCGACCAACCGCAGCAACAGUUCCACCGUGGGAUCCCUAGCACACCGGCCACUUCCUGAGUGUGCCACCACUGGAGCCUAGGAGGAGGGCUCCCACCCCGCCUCGCCAACCCGCGAGAGCCGCCGAGAAGGAUCCCGCGGGCUCGUCACCGUCUCUGAUCCGAACCAAUCCAUAGCAGAUCGUCAUCACAGAUCCGCCUUGGACAGGGACUGCACCACGCCAUGCCGCUGCGGGAAGCCCGAGCUUCACCGGCCUCCACCCUACAGGGCCGCCGCCCCGGGAUCCAGACAGAACUUUGCCGCUGCCACCGGCCAAGUUCCUCCGCUGCCGACUGGCCAAGCCGCCGGUCACUUCAUGACCAUGCGAGCACAGCCAGCCGGCCGACCAACUAUGACGAAGAAGAAGGCCACCACCACCAAGCCUAGGGGCGGCGCCCCAGACAUCCUCGUGUUGCAGAUCAAGUCCAGGAGCAGUGCCCCGCCGACGGCGAUUGAGAUCGGUAGCACAACGAAUUAGCCUGACAUGAGUCAAGGCCAGAUCCACCUUUGAUGGUGCCGUGCCCCCCCGCCCCCCGCACCACCUCCAUGUCGUCGCCGAUCUGCGCCACCGCUGUCGGUCUGGCCGGAGAGGAGCGCCGCCUCCCAACCAGAUCGAGAUCUGAGGAGAAACCGCCACCGCCGCCACGCCACAAGGGCUUUGCCCUGUGACACCCCGGGCGACGGCAGCGGAGGGGAGCGGAGGAGGGGAGGGGCGAGGUUGUAGGAAGAGGGCGGGGGCUCCCCGAUGCGGGGCGGCGCCGCCGCACGGGGGAGGGACGGGAGGGACCUUAAUAUAUGGCUAAGAAACUAAAAGCACAAAUUAGGAAAAUGCAGCAAAGCAUUUCCUUUCCUCCCCCAUCGACGGCUAUGGCAAACAAAUCCCCUCCAAGGUUUGCUGGCGAGCCUGACGAUUCACUUACCCUUUGCCUACCGCUCUGACAUCUGGUGGCGGGGAGGAGAAUCAUGGUACCUCUGCUUGUAGCCUACUAGUUUAGGUUAGGUUUUUAUAAUCCACACCUGGUGCUUCUUCUUUGAGUUUGUCUUCCGAGUUUCGAACCUCCUUGAAUUUGUCCGUCCGGACAUAGUCGACGAAGCAACCGCGUAGAUUCUUGCUAUCUCCUAGGGGCUGCUUGGUUUUAGCCAAAGGCAACCCUGCCAAACAUGGACACGGUCGCCCCAGCUUCGCCAGCAAAUUCGCGUGAAUGUGAACUGUAUUGGUAGCGGUGGGCUGGGCGGACCAAUUUUUUGGCGACCAUCCAAACACCAUCCAAGGCCUGGUCAACGACCAAUUUAUUGGUGGGGCAGUUGAGGGCAUCAAACCAAACAGCCCCCUAGAGACGGUGAGGUUAGGAUUUUCCGUCGUGUGUGUGCGAUGGCAGUGUCUGCCUCAAAUCUGUUGAAGGGUUCAAUGGCGAUGACUGUGGCUCAAGAGCGCUGGUCCUUAGGGGCAUGUGCACGAAGAUUCCCCGACCUUCAUCAACAAGGUUAAUAAGUUGGCUGUGGUAGGGAAGCGGCGACAACAACGUGUCGACAGCUCAUUGGCGGCGGUAGUGGUCAUACGGCGGUCCACUGACUUUGAUGUAAUUUUUAUUAUGUUUGAGGUUCUUUUUUCUCCUAGUAAACUUUAAUAACAAAUUCAUAUCUUUUCACAAAAAAAAUGUCUAGGAAGCUAUUACCAAAAAAGGCUUUUGCCCCGCUUUAUAUAUAAAGCAAACCGCCCAAGCCAAACAUCCCACAUAGGUCCACAACACACACACACACACACACACGCACAAGGAGUCCACAAGAACACAAAGUACAAUCUGGAUUAAUGCUGAGGGCACAGCUCAACAAGCCCUGAAAACAGAAAAAUAAUAUACAAGGCACAGAUGUGCAAGAUCCCAAGGAGUGGUACACAUCCAGCGUCUCAGGGAGGAGGCGUAAGCCUAGUCGGGCUCCGGGGGCGGGGGCGAGAGAGGAGGCACCACUCGGAAGGCCAUCGCGCGGAGGUCGGCGAGGAGGGUGUUGAUGGCGUCCCGGUCCUGGGGGCGGCUAAGCGGUCACCAACGCUUCAAGUAACCACACAAUUUGAAGAUUGCGUCAGUCGCACAUCGAAGAGGUGUUCUUUGGAUGACAAGCUUGUUGCGGAUAGUCCAGAGCGUCCAGGAAAGGACCCCAACACAGAGCCACCUAAUGUGGCGGUGACGAGGGCGGAGUCUUGGAUUUCCGCCAGCAGGUCCUAGAAGUUUGUGUUGCACCAACGACCACCGACCGUAUCGUGGAAACAGGCCCACAGGAAUUGGGCCGUAACACAAGAGAAGAAGAUGUGGUUGGCGUCCUCUACCGUGCCUCAUAAGAGACACAUCCCAUUCCCCCGGGCGAUUGCGCUUCAGGACCUCAACCCCAGACGGUAGGUGGACCCGGAUCCACUACCACAAGAAGAUCCGGAUCUUCAACGGCAAGUGGAUGUCCCAAAUCAAGCUAAACGGCUCAGGAACCGGAGAGGGAGCAAUGGCCGAAUAAAGGGAGAGAACCGCCCCGAAGGCUCCAGACGCCACGACACGGAGUCAGGCGCGCCAUCCAGUUCCAAAGGCUGGAGGGCGAUGGCUCGGAGAAGGGCGUCCCAAGCGGCCACCUCGAGAGGGCCGAAGGGGCGUCGGAAGGCGAGCCACCCUAAGUCAAUAAGGGACGACUCAACGGAGACCCGAGGGUCGACCGCGAUGGAGAAUAGCUCCGGGAAAUGGGCGGCCAGGGGGGAGUCCCCCAGCUACCGUCAAACUAGAACAGCGUCGCGGACCCAGAACCCACCUCAAUGGAGGUACCGAUUCGGACAACAGGAAGGAGCUGAAUCACAACCUGCCAAAAUUGGGAUCCACCAGAGCACUAACAGAAGGCAAGAGGCUGUCCAUGGAGGUAUUUAUUGCGGAUGAGGGUUAGCCAAAGCCAGCGCAUCAGGAGAGCGAUGUUCAUCCGCCUGGAGGACAGGAUCCCAAGGCCCCCCUGGUAUUUGGGUUUCCAAAUGUCGGGCCAGCUAACCAUAUGAUAUUUCUUCUUAUCCCCCUCGUGAGCCCAGAAGAACCGGGACUGGUAUUUGGCGAUCUCCUGAUGAAGGGUCUCGUGGAGGCUAUAGAAGCUCAUGAGGAACCAUAGGAGGCUGGACAGCGAGGAGUUGAUGAGUAUCGUCCUCGCAGCUUUCGAAAGCCACCUGCCCCGCCACGGUUCCACCCGGUGCUGCAUCCUAGUGACCGCAGGGCGGAGGUCGGCCACGGUCAGUCUAGAGUCACUGAUGGGGAUCCCGAGGUAGGUGGUCGGGAAGGAACCCAUCCGGCAGUUCAAACGGCCGACAAUAGCCUGGGCCUCCUCAGGGGGUAGCCCAGAAUCAUCACUUCGCUCUCAUCGAAGUUGAUCGUGAGCCCCGACAUUUGUUGAAAGCAGAGGAGGAACUUUAGGUUGGCAAUGUCGGAGGUGGAGCCCUCAACCAUAAUGAUGGUGUCAUCUGCGUAUUAUAUGAGGGAGACCCCUCCCCCUCCCACUAGAUGAGGAACUACACCAUGGAUAUGGCCGACAGAUUUGGCCUUAUCAAGGAUGGAGGCAAGGGCAUGGACCACCAUGUUGAACAAAAACGGGGAGAACAGGUGACGCACCCCACACAGGGUUGGGAAGUAGGGUCCAAUCUCGCUGUUGAUGGUGAUCACGGUCGGGCCGCAGGUGACCAGUUGCAUGACCCUGGUCACCCAACGGUCUUCGAAGCCCUUGUGAAGCAAAACUUCCCCAAGGAAGGACCAAGGGACAAUUUCGUAGGCUUUGUGGAAGUCGAGCUUCAGAAAAACUGCCCAUUGGUGUUUGGAGCGAACCUAGUGAAGCACCUCAUGGAACACCAGAACCCCAAGAAGCUAUUGUUGGGAAUGGAAGCAGACAUAUGCACAUAAAAAUGUCUGUGAAGGCACCUGCCUCUUUUCUCAAGCGCUUUGUUGGCGUUCUUUUAUACGUGUCAAACACAUCUAUAUUUUUACUUGUUUCAUGUUGUAUUUAUAUUCUUAUUGCCUCACUUUGGCAUUUUUUAAAUUAUAUUGGACUAACCUGUUAAUCCAUUGCCCAAUGCCACUUUAUGUUUCUUGCAUAUUUUUGGAAUCUGCAUGAAUAAAAUUUUCCUGAGCCCAAGAAAAACAAAUAAAAAUAUGACGCAAAGUUUCACGCCAAAAGAGCCACUGGGCAUAAGCCCACCUAGAGGGGCCCACCUAGACUUCACGUGGCCCCAACAUGUGUCGUAGUGUUGACGCAUGACGUGCGGGCAUGGGACUCCUGGACAUUAUCUCCAUCGCUCGCAUAGCCCUAUCUCUAUAUAUGCUAAACAAUACGUGACAUAUUUCUAUCCAAAGUUUUCCGCUCCCGCAACCACCCGAUGUUGGGAAACGUAGCAUGUAAUUUUAAAAAAAAUUCUACGCUCACGCAAGAUCUAUCUAGGAGAUGCAUAGAAACGAGAGGGGGAGAGUGUGUCCACGUAUUCUCGUAGACCGAAAGCGGAAGCAUUAACUUAACGCAGUUGAUGUAGUCGAACGUCUUCUCGAAUCAACUGAUCAAGUACCGAACGUACGACACCUGUGAGUUCUGCACACGUUCAGCUCGCUGACAUCCCUCGAACUCUUGAUCCAGUAGAGGUAUGGAGGAGAUGAGUUCCGUCAGCACGACGGUGUGGUGACGGUGAUGAUGAUGUGAUCCGUGCAGGGCUUCGCCUAAGCACUACGACAAUAUGACCGGAGGAGUAAACAGUUGAGGAGGCACCGCACACGGCUAAGAAACAACUGUUGUGCUUUGGGGUGCCCCAUUGCCCCCGUAUAGAAAGGAGGGAGAGGGUAAAGGGCCGGCCUAGGGCACGCCCAAGUGGGGGGAGUCCAACUAGGACUCCUAGUCCUAGUCAGCCCCCCUUCCUUUCCAACGGAGGGGGAAAGAGGGAAGUGGAGGGAGAGGGCGAGGGAGAAGGAAAGGGGGGCCGCGCCCCUCCCCCUUGUCCAAUUCGGACUCCACAUGGGGGGGGGGGGCACCACCUCCUGCGACCUUCCUCUCCUCUCCACUAUGGCCCAUGAGGCCCAUUACUUCCCCGAUGGGUUCUGGUAACCCCUCGGUACUCCAAAAAAUACCCGACCCACUCCGGAACCAUUCCGGUGUCUGAAUUUAACCUUCCAAUAUAUCAAUCUUUACCUCUCGACCAUUUUGAGACUCCUCAUCAUGUCCGUAAUCUCAUCCGGGACUCCGAGCUACCUUCGGUCACCAAAACACAUAACUCAUAUAAUACAUAUCAUCAUCGAACGUUAAGCGUGCAGACCCUACGGGUUAGAGAACUAUGUAGACAUGACCGAGACACCUCUCCGGUCAAUAACCAAUAGCGAAACCUGGAUGCUCAUAUUGAUUCCCACAUAUUCUACAAAGAUCUUUAUCGGUCGAACCGCAAUGUCAACAUACGUUAUUCCCUUUGUCAUCGGUAUGUUACUUGCCCGAGAUUCGAUCAUCGGUAUCUUCAUACCUAGUUCAAUCUCAUUACCAGCAAGUCUCUUUUCUCGUUCCGUAGUGCAUCAUCCCGAAAGUAACUCAUUAAUCACAUUGCUUGCAAGGCUUCAUAUGAUGUGCAUUACCGGGAGGGCCCAAAGAUACCUCUUCGAUACUUAGAGUGACAAAUCCUAAUCUUGAUCUAUGCCAACCCAACAAACACCUUCGGAGAUACCUGUAGAGCAUCUUUAUAAUCAUCUAGUUACGUUGUAAUGUUUGAUAGCACAUAAGGCAUUCCUCUGGUGUCCGGGAGUUGCAUAAUCCCAUAGUCGGAGGAAUAUAUAUUUGACAUGAAGAAAGCAGUAGCAAUAAAACUGAACGAUCAUUAUGCUAAGUUAAUGGAUGUCUUGUCCAUCACAUCAUUCCAGUAAUUAUGUGAUCCCGUUUAUCAAAUGACAACUCAUGUUCAUGGCUAGGAAACUUAACCAUCUUUGAUCAAUGAGCUAGUCUAUUAGAGGUACACUAGGGACAUAGUGUUUUGUCUAUGUAUUCACACAUGUAUCAAGUUUCCGGUUAAUACAAUUCUAGCAUGAAUAAUAAACAUUUAUCAUGAAUAAGGAAAUAUAAAAUAGCAACUUUAUUAUUGCCCCUAGGGCAUAUUUCCUUCACCCGAUCCAAGGCGGUCUUCANNNNNNNNNNNNNNNNNNNNNNNNNNNNNNNNNNNNNNNNNNNNNNNNNNNNNNNNNNNNNNNNNNNNNNNNNNNNNNNNNNNNNNNNNNNNNNNNNNNNNNNNNNNNNNNNNNNNNNNNNNNNNNNNNNNNNNNNNNNNNNNNNNNNNNNNNNNNNNNNNNNNNNNNNNNNNNNNNNNNNNNNNNNNNNNNNNNNNNNNNNNNNNNNNNNNNNNNNNNNNNNNNNNNNNNNNNNNNNNNNNNNNNNNUGAUGAUGUGGGCGUAGUCCACCCUAGGUCUGAGGUUUUGUACUAGUAGUUAUGUGUUAUAUCUCUCCCCCUUGAUCAUGUGAGUUUCCAUUGAUGAUUAUGAUUGUGGGUGUUGUUAAUGGAGUUGAAUCAUGUGAUGUAUCACGGCAUAUUAUCCUUGUGGUGAAAUGGAUUUUGCUCUUGCUAUGAGUUUCUUUGUAUGUUAGAUUGAAUCUUUUCGGAACUAGUGAGAUCAUGGUGCAUUUCUAGUACGAUUUUCAGAGAUGCCCGUAGUGACAUUUAUGUGAUUCUGUGGACAACAGAUUAGAACAAUAAAGAUCAUGAGGUGAUUGUUUAGUAUAAUUUCUGGGUUGCCUGAGGUGACAUUAGGUCUAGCCAUACCUAAUUUAUCUCAUCCUACUUUGAUCCGGCAAAAGAGGAACUUUGAAAUGAUUCUUUACCGUACAUUUUCAUGAUAUAUCAUGUGUUUCUACUAUAUUAAUUAUGUAGAGAAUUGACAUUAGUGAAAUUAUGAACCCUAGGCCUUGUUUGCAGGCAUUACAACUCUGCUUUAUUCACUUUUACUACUUGAUACCUUGCUGCCCUUAUUUAUUCUGAAAAUACAAAAAUAUUACCAUCCAAAUACCAAUCUACCAUCCAAAUUAUUAAUCUCUUCGACGACUUUUGGGUUUUCGGAUAACAGGCCCCAGGCCAAUUAAUCGAUAGAUUCUUGAUUAAUUGCUUGUUAGAGCAAUAAAUCUACCCAAAUGAUAAAUAGCACUGAUAAGGCAUAAUCUUAGCAGUCACCCACCGAUAAGCAAUAAAUGGGCCGGUAAAUCACUGAAUCAGCCGAUUUUUUAAACAUUGCUCUUCGCUAAAGUAGUGCGCCUAUAGAAUUAACAGUUCUAUUGGGUGUGUUCGGGACACAGGGGACUACUUAUAUUUGAUUGCAGGGUUGUUUGGAAAAGACUACUUUCAACUACACCUCUCACAGGUUGAUAAACCUUAGGUUAUCGACUUGAAGCACACUGCCGUUGUCUUACAAUCCUCUACGUUUAGAGGCCCAACAUAGUCUACAAGAAUAGAAGUGCGUAGUAGACAUCAAGUUGUUUCUGGUGCCAUUGCCGGGAGGUGGUGCUUGAGGGUAUCUUCUUUAGAUCUUGCAAUUGAAUGUUUUAGUCUCAUGUUCACUUGUUUGGUUUAUAAAAGAAACAACAACAAAACUAGUGAACACUUGUUUACCUUCAUAAAAUUUAUUUUGAGAACAUGGACUCAUAAUUUGGUCAUGAAGUAUUCAAAGAAGAAUUUAAAAAGGUUAAUGAUGUAUGUUCUUUCAAUGCUAAUCAUGAUUACAAUAGACAUGGUAUUAUGAAUUCCAUUUUUGCUAAUGAUAUGUAAAGUUGUAAGCUUGGGGAUGAAAGGUUUGAUAAAUAUGAAAUUUUUAGACCACUUGAUCCUAGCUUGGAGAAUAAUUUUUACAUGAUAGUAUUCCUCCUAGUUAUGGUGAUUACAAAUGUUGAUGAAAGUGGGUUCGGAGAGGUCAUGACUUUAGAUAGUAAUGAUCCCUUUAUUUGGAGAGUGCUAAAUUUGAUUAUGCUAUUAUUGGAAGUGGGUUUGGAGAGGUCAUGACCUCAGGUACGGUUUAUCCCACAAUUUUGGAGGAUGUUUCAAUUGACUAUGAUGAGAACAAAGUUACUAGCUAUGAUGUCACUUGCUAUAAAUAAUAAAGAUAAGCAUCAUUAUAAAACUUGUCAUAGUGUGAGUUUAAUGUGCAAUUGGGUCAUGCCAAUUAAGCUUCACAUGAUGGCUAUUUUGUUGAAUUUUCUCCCACUACAAUUAAUAAGAAAGAAUUUGCUUAUGUGGACAGUAAUAGUAAUUUUGUGCAUUAGAUCCUGAAAAGUAUGCUUUAUGUGAUAACCAUAUUAUUGAGCUUGUUCAUGAAGCGGCUGAAAAUUAUUAUGAGAGAGGGAGAUAGCUAGGGCUAUAGAUAUCUUAACAAUAUUAAGUUUCCUCUCUUUAUGAUGAAAGCUUUAAAGUUGCACUUGUUUUCUCUUCCUAUGCUAGUUACUUCUUGCUUCAGUGAAUCAUUUGCUUACAAGAUUCCAAUGCAUAUGAAGUGGGUUAGCCUUAAUUUUCUUAUUACUAUAUGGUUUUUGAUGCUCUCCAUUGUGUUUCAAAAUAAUUAUGAUUCAUGUUUUCUUGAGAGCAUCAUAAAAAUGUCGAUACUAGCUAAAAGAUAGUGAAGAAAGCGCUUGAGGUGCAGUGAGAUGCCAGAAGGACAUGAAGUUCUUCAUAGAUCUCUAGAGGACUUCCUGACUAGGACGGUAUGUUUUAUAGUUCAACACGUUUUGACUGAGUUUCUUAUAUAUGGUCCUGCCCAAAAAUUCUAACUAUUGAUUUCUUUUAAUUUUGCUCAGGUCAUCCCUUGCGGGGCAAGGUGUGAUUUCUGAGAGGUUUCACGUUCUGCUUGAUGCGACCAUCAUAUCCCAUUGCACCUCAUGAAGAUGCAGACAACCCAAAACUUCACUUCUCUUAUCACUAACGAGCCACACCGCACCUAUCUUGGGUGCCCUGGUUGGAGAGACCUUGCAGAUGCCUACGGGAUGGAAGCUGGCGAGAGGGCCAUCUUCUACCUCGAGUAUGAUCGUGAGGAGAUCAUGGUCUACUAUAGGCUUGCUAGCAGCUCUGAUUCACUUACUCCAAACUACGACCCCGAGUCCAACCGUCGAAGAGUCUAGUUAGUAGGCAUGCAUGGCACCCACUCGUAUUAUAUUAUUAUCACCAAUCCAGUUGAACGUGUGUUACAUAUGCAUGCCAUGUUAAUUAGUGCUUUGUUGAACUUAAAAUGUUGUCUUUUGCCUCUAUUUAGUACUAUCAAGCUUGAUUUUAUUGAUGUUGUCAAACUUGAUUAUGUUGUCAUUUGGGUGGGAAAGCACUUUUAUACAACUUUAAUUUUAACCUAAGAAUCAUAUUGAUGGCAUGGCGCCAACAUGGUAUGUCACUUGUGAUGAAUAUUAUUGAUGGCGUGUGACACAUGGCACACCAUCGUCACUAAUGUUAGUGGUGGCGUUGGUUUCCAACGCCCCCACUAUUUUCUAGAGUCACGCCAUAUUGGUGGCGUUGGGUGCCAACGCCACCAAGGCGGUUUUUUGCAAUGGCACCACUAGCCUUUUCUGCACUGGUGACUCCAUCGCCAUGUUCGAGCUGUUACUGAGGGAGGGAAAGUACAAGAUGGUUGGCUUCGGCCUCGAGUACACCCGCAUCAUGUCGGCUAUGAUUAGAAGUCCGACGUCGCCCAGUUAUGCGUGCACCAUCAGGUCAUCGUCUACCGGUUACUGCAGGGUCACGAGACCUUGUGAAAAUUUCACCGAGUUAGUUAACAACCAUGAUUAUGAAUUCACUAUGAGCCUAUGAUGGACACCACCAACGAUGCAAAGGUGCUUGGUAAUUCGUCCAUCUCGUGCCCGGAUCUCGUUGACAUUCAGAAACAAUACAAGAUCAACGAUAAUGGGAAGUGACAGAAUGCUCUGGCUAACAUGUGUGGACUCGAAGAGGAGAAGAAAUUUGUGUGGAGGCCACAUGUUGCAGUUUUUCUUUUUCCACUAGUUUAUCUCUCUAACAGUAGGGACCAACCGCCAUGGGCAAGGGGAGCGAGCAGAGCACACAACGAAAUCCAAGAGAGCUAACAAGCGGCAUGCGGGGUUGGACUAGCGAGAGACUGUCAUUUUCUCUCGCCGACCCUCGUGGUUCACAUCCCACCCUGCCACUUAGCAGCGAGGCCUCGGCUGGCAAAUGCCGCUCGAAGUGCUCCCAACCUUCUAUUCCUAGGAGCAUAGAGUUUUUAAGGAUUUUGCAUUGUUCUUUUUGUUAAUAUAUGUGUUUUAUGCCUCAAAUUAUCUUAUGUUGCCAUGAAUUUGUACAUUUUUCUACAUGGACCAUUAGGCCUCGAGAGAUUGGUCUAAUGAUGUGUGUAGGUGUAGAAGGUUUAAUUUUUUGUGCUGAAAAUUAAGAGCGACCCGGAUAGAGAAGGAAAAUUUGAAUACAUAAGCUUACAAGGCCUAACGGGCCUCGCGGUCCGUUACCCUUGCCCUCGUCAUGUGUUGGCCGCGAAUUGCUCUCCCUCCUUCAUCACGCAUGUACUCACGCAACAUUGAAGCGCCACCAUCAUGGCGUCAGCAAGCGCUUGGUCAUACCACCAUCGUACAUGGCACAACAGGCAAGCAACACCCUGUUGUUCACAAGGCCAUAACGCCACCAACACUAGUGCGCCAGUCACCAUCGUCCUGGAAGGUGACAACCAGGCGCCACCGUUCCACCGGAAUGGGUGAUGGUCCAUGCAAACUCUUUGGGUGCGGGAUCCACCGCAACCUCAGGAAGACAGGUAGGAAGAGAUGAGCUUGCUCUGGGACAAGGAGAGGCCCUCCUCACUAUGUGGGGGACAUGAUGAGUGUAUGAGGGGCUUAGAUGGAGAGGUAGGCGUUGAAAGAUUGAUGGGAGCGGCUAGGUUUUCUCCUUAACCUAUUUUCGGUGACUGCAUUCAGUUUCAUUUCAUAACAGAUAAACACCAAGAUUAAAGUAGGUAAAACAAAAAUCAUCUGUAAUACCUGUACAUAAAAAACUUUGAGCCAUUUCAUUUCUUUUGCUGUUAUGAUCGUACGGACAGAUAGAUAGGCAGACAGCUACAACAGAAAUUCAAGAAAAAUCACCAACGGCUCAAGGAAAGCUCCUAAUUCUAACUCUCAAAAUUUGAAGAGACACCACCAUCCACUGUGCAUGCUCAGCUGAUGUGUUGAAGCUCUCUCUGACGAAAGCCAGCCUAUGAGCUGCACAUGUCGAGCAGGAAUGCCCUGCAUUGCACCAGGCGCCUGAAGAGCAGCUCCAGCCCCUCCUCCAGCUGCUGGAUCGUGUCUCCCAGCGCUCUGAGCUCCCUCUGCGCCCGCGACGCCGUGGAAUCUUUGCGCAGAGCCAGCGACGGCAGGACGGUUGUGGUGGUCUUCUCGGCGUCCACGCACGCCACCCGUGUCGUCUUCCUGAACGCCCUCGCCGCGAUGCACGUGGACCACCUGCUCGGCCCGGCGGACACGGCCACCCGUCGCGACAGCGCCAUCACGACGCGCUCCAGCACCGCCACGGUGACCCGCCGCGCCUCCUCCAGCGACCGCCCACCGCUCUCUCCCGCUUGACACGGGCUAAUGCGCCGGUGCCGCUGCUGCCUCUUCACGUCGGCGCGCGCCUUCCUGGCAAGGAGCGUGUACGCGCGAGCGGCGAUCUCGGCGGUGGCGGCGUCCCCGCGACGGAGGGCGACCUCGAGGUCGAACGCGGAGGCGCGCAUGGAGCGCAGCCCGUCCCGCGCCGCGGCGCACGCGUCGAGCAGCCCGACGGACGCCUCUAGCUCCUCCUCCACCUGCUCGGCGCGCGCGAACCGCAUGAGCGGCUCCACGUGCUCGUACACGCGCGCCACGCCUUCCAGAUCUCCCGCCAUCGCUGCCGCCGACGACGAACACACGUACGCCUCCAUAUUAGCAGUACUUCGCUUGUACAACAAGCUCUGUCCACGUAGCUGCUGGACGCCCAGAUGAGACGACUGAGACGAGAAUAGAUGCCAAGUUGAUCGCAGUCGCAGCAAACUCGUAGUCGUAGCUGCUCCUCCAUCCGUGGCGCCGCGCGAGCGCAUAUAUACCCUGUGCUGUUCGCGCACCGUGCGCUGUCAUGUUGGCGCCGGCCGGCCACCGGCACGGCAGGCUGGCAUGCACCCCCACGGGCGGGCGCGGAGACGAUGCACAUAUACGUACGUACGUAAGUACUACUAGGACCAGGACGUAGGAGCGUUCCAACCGCGAGCAGUUGGCUGGAGGCGGACACAUGGACGCCUCCGGGCGCGCCAGGAGCUAGGCGAAGUUGCCGUGCAUGCGCUGAUGCGCAGAUAAGGACAGGACAUGGCAAUGAUCCGUGCGAGGUUCCGCCUCACGUCCGUACCGACCAAUCAUGGAGCUGAGCCCCUAGUUUGUCCCUGGAAUGUGUGGAGAGAUCCUUUAAGAGCAUCCGUAUCUCCCGAUCACGAGAGAUUAUCUCUGCUGUGUCCGUUUGUGCCCAUCUUCUUCGUGGCUCCUACCUGACCAGAGAUACGUGUCACACUUUGUAAAACCAACUGCGGCGCGCACUUGCCCAUGUCGUUGUUUAUCUCUGUUUAAUCACGCGAUUACCAACUUUAGGGGAUCGAUUGGCUUUCGACAUACGGACAUGCUUACAUUUACAUGCAUGCACAUAAGAGCAUUUCUAAGAGUCUACAGCUGGACUUGCAAGCUGCACAAAAUCAAAUGCCACGUGAACGAAAUAUUUAGCAGUGAUAAACUGAGCACUUUCGCAACAGUAUUAUUAUUCACGCUGGUAAUGUUGGACAAUAUUGGAUAUUGUUCUUGGAGACUGACUCCCAGAGAUGAAUCUCCGACCCAUCUUUUAUUGUGAAAGACGCAAAGCGAAAGAAGAUACCUAGACCAAGUUUUCAAUAUUGCCUGAGACAUAACCUUUUGGUCUAGGUAUUUGUUGUGUAGCAUGGUUUUUCAAACACUACCCCAGUAAGAAGUUUGAAUAAAUUCAGCGCAAAAAAAAGAAGUUUGAAUAAAUAUUUGCCAAGUAGGGCCUCAUUCUUGACCUGCAGGUCAUGAAUGGCAAGGCCACCUAGGUAUUUCGGCCUACAAACCACGCUUCAUUUGUCUAAUCUAUACCUUUGCCAAAAGAAUCUGAAUCUAAAAUAGUUCAGUCUUUACAUGACCCCUUUGAGAAGUUGAAACAAAGAAAGCAUAUAAAGAACCAUAUUUGUGAUAAUCGAGUUGAAAAAGACCAGUUGUUCUUAAACUAAGAGCAACUUACCUUUCUAACUGCUUAACUGUUUCUCUAAGCGCUCAUUUACGUGCUUUCAUUCCGCAUUAGUGAGACACUGAUAAUGCAUCAGUAUCCCCAGAUAUUUGUUCCAUAAUUUGCCUUGCACACAAACAAAUAGAUCAGCAUAGUCAGUCGGCGCAUCACCAGCUUCUCCAAAGCAGAACAAUUCACUUUUAUGAAAAUUAAUUUUGAGACCCAGCAUUUGCUCAAACGUUGAAAGCAAAAGUUUCAGGUUUCUAGCCUUGUCUAGGUCAUGUUAUAAAAAGAAUUGUAUUAUCGGGAUAUUGCAAAAUAGAGAGGUCACCAUCCACAUGGUGUGGCACUACUCCUGCAGUCUGCCCGUCCUGCUUGGCGCGCUCAAUCAGAAUAGUCAACAUGUCAUCAACAAUGUUAAAUAACAUUGUAGACAAGGGGUCACCGUGUUAGGAUGAUCUCCUCCUGAGUGGACCCUUAGAUCCUUGCCCCGAUCGGGGGCGCCCAACCCACUAUGGUUGACGGGCCCCUGUCACCUGUGCAAUAUAUAAAGAGGUCGGGGCCGGCGACACGCAACACAAGGUUCGUCGCGAGUCGUACACCCCACCGACACACCUACCAGUCUAGGUUAGCGCAGUAGUGAUGGGAAGUUCCGCCGCCGCCUCGACCACACCCUUCCAUCACCGUUGCCCUACACCAUGUCCGGCACCACGGGCUCAUCGAGCCAAGGAGAAGGUGCUCUUCCUUCUUCCCCAUCUCUUUGUCCUUCCUUCUCAAAUGAUUAGACAGAUUCUAUAUAUAGAUGGUUCUACCGCUAAUCUCUAGCCUAGAUGUUCCUAGUGAAUUUAACAUUGGUAUCAGAGCAGUGCUAGGCUUAGAUUUUCCCGUAGAAAGAAAAGCAAAUGAGAUCUACACUUUCUAGAUCAAUUACAGUAAAAGAAGAACAACCUUUUCCCUUUUACCGUGUUCGGAUCGAUGUAGAAGCCGAAAUCAAACAGACCCCUUCGAGGCAAAGGGCACCGCCACCGAGCCGCUUGACAGCGGCGCGCUCUCCUUCUGGAGCUCACGCACGCCGGCAAGGGGAUCAGUAGGGACGCCACCACUCCAUUGAAAAAGGGCCCCGUCGAGCGCAAGGGAGCAGAGGAGGGCGCAACCGCGUCCCUCUCUCUCUACCACAUGAUGCGAAGGAUGGAGGGAUGAAAGAAGGGGGAAGGGAAAAAGAAGCUGGCAUGGCGCGGUGGCAUUGAUGCUGUCGCCGGCGGCCGGACGUUGCCCCUUUUUCCGCCGUCUGCGGGACACACAUGAAGAAGGAUGAGGAGAAAAGAAAGUGGGGCUAGGGUUUUGGUCGGGGGGCUCUCUCCCGGUUUUUCUUCAAGCGAAAAGGCCGGUGGACCAUCUAAUCAAAUGGACGGCCACAAUAAAAACCCUAAUUCNNNNNNNNNNNNNNNNNNNNNNNNNNNNNNNNNNNNNNNNNNNNNNNNNNNNNNNNNNNNNNNNNNNNNNNNNNNNNNNNNNNNNNNNNNNNNNNNNNNNNNNNNNNNNNNNNNNNNNNNNNNNNNNNNNNNNNNNNNNNNNNNNNNNNNNNNNNNNNNNNNNNNNNNNNNNNNNNNNNNNNNNNNNNNNNNNNNNNNNNNNNNNNNNNNNNNNNNNNNNNNNNNNNNNNNNNNNNNNNNNNNNNNNNNNNNNNNNNNNNNNNNNNNNNNNNNNNNNNNNNNNNNNNNNNNNNNNNNNNNNGCUAAGCUGCCUUUUUCUUUUGAUUUCUCUGUCAUUUUUUUAUCAGAAGCAUGUUUUAUUUUUUUUCUUGUCUAGUUUUUGGGCAAAGUUCAUACAGUUUUUUCUAUUCAAAAUUAUCCAACAAUUUUUUUUACAAAAUAGAAAAGUAAGAGAAAUGCUUAUGAAAAGCAUAAAGUUCAUGGUCUUUUUAUUCAUAUUUUUCGCUGCAAAAUAAAUAAAAGUGCUCUUUUUAAAAGGUGAAUAGAACUAAUUAAAGUGAGAGUUAAUUUUUAAGAGCAUGCUAAAGUGAUUAUUGAAACAAUUAUGAUUAUGUUAUUUUAUGACCAACACUAUUAAUAACAUAAUCAUGAUUUAUUGUUGUUAUAUGUGCAUUUAUUUCUAUUUUCUGCGCAACGGUGAUAUAGUUUCAAUUGCACAAACAGUUGUAUGUUUUAAUUUUGACCAAGGUUGGAUUAAUGCAUGCAAUUGUUGUUAUGAUCUCACUUCAUUGUUGUUUUCAGGAGGGUACUACUUGAUGAGCUACAUCAAGGAUGUUCCAACCCUCAAAGGUGAUAACUACACUGAAUGAAGAAACAAGGCCGACUUGGCUUUUGUUUGUGCUGAGGUGGACUGGGUUGUGGAUACUCCACAGCCGGUCAAAUCAACAGAGCCAGUCAGAGAAGCAAAUGAUGAUGAUGCUUGGAACAAAAAGAAGAGGGAUCAUGCUCCAGUGGAGAUGUCAUAUACCCUCGACAACCAAAAGUGGCUCACCGCCAAUAAAAAAUGCAUGGCUUUCAUAAAGAACACAACUGAGAACGCUAUUGUGGGAUCAAUUGUAGAGUGUACUUCUGUAGGGGAGUUUCUUGAAAAGAUAAAGAGCCAGUUCAUUGGUUCUUCAAAGAUUUAUGCUACCCAGUUGCUAAAGCAGCUGGUGACAGAAAAGUACACAGGCGGUAGACAUGGCAUAAGAGAGCACAUCCUCAGGAUGAGCAACAUGGCAGCUAAGCAUAAACCCAUCGAUUCGAAUUUGGAGCUCAAGCCUGCACUCCUUGUUCACCUGGUUAUGGCUUCACUACCAAAAGAGUUUGACACUUUUGUUGUCAACAACAACAAGUCGCCUGAAAAAUGGGACAUUGAAAAGACUAUAGCCAUGUGUGUGCAAGGAGAAGAAAGACUUAGAACCUCACAUGGUGGUUCUCUGAACUGUAAGUGCAUAUAGUGCCCCUUAGUGAAAUUGGUGUAUUGAAGACUUAUAGGUUAAGGGACAAAUAUGUUUGUGAGUUUACACAGGCUCUAUAAGUCAAUGAGGAGUUUGUUAUUUACAGUGAAAGUCGACCCCAAAAAUGAAUGUCUUCGGCUGAAGACUUUGGUUCUCCUGAAGACUUUGAAAGUGAAGAAAUUGGUGUGACCUUUGAAGACUUCGAUAAUCAUGCGAGGAAUCUGAAGCGUGAAGACUUUUGUUUUCGUAGUUUCAUUUUCUUCUUCUUGAGUCAUAGGAAACACCGUACUGUUAAAGGGGGUCGAGGUAAUACUAAGGAAACAGAUUUCCAAGUGAUGCUCAUCUCAAAAUCCUACACCUACCCAAUCCUUCGAGUGAAGCCAUUGGAAAUCUCAUAUCAGUUCAGUCAAUUUCUUUAGUGACAGAGACAAAGAUCUUCUAGUCUUUGAGGAAUUUGUUCUGGCCGAGGAGUUAGGAAUUCGCCGGUGUGGAUUGCCUACACAGUGAGGAACAUGAUAGCCUUGAGGAAUUUGAACCUCAAAAUAUCCGACCGUUGCUGAGCCACGCGCCAGCUGUUCCAAAAUAUCCUACCACCUAACGGUCAUAUCUGCCAAGGGCAUUUAUGUCUUAUCAUGUCGGGUUGCUCCCUAGGCUAUAAAAUAGCCGCCCCCUGCAACCACUAGCUGGUUGGUUGCUCCGAGAGAAACUGACACUUGUCAUUUGAGAGCAUCCCAUCCUCCAAGGACUUUGAGCGAAAAUCAUCAAGUGAGGAAAACCCAAAUCCCAAACCCAAACCUACAAACCCCAAAGUGAUUGAGCAUCACUGAAGAGAUUGUUCCUGUGUGGAACCGAUGCUUGUUACCUUUGAGGACUGUGUAUCCACCAGACGGUUAGACGUCAUGGUCUGAGCAUCCAAGGGGAAUUGUGGAUUGCCGAGUGACCAAGUCUGUGAAGGUUUGGAAGUCACCUGUGAAGACUUACCACUACUGUUGGGCGAGGUCUGUGUGAUCUUAGCUCAAGGAGAAUACGGUGAGGACUGUGUGUCCCCGAUUUUAAAUACUCAGCCGCUCCAACCAGACGUACAACCGUCACAAUAGUUGGAACUGAUCUACCAAAUCGUUAUCUUCACCAAGCCAACUGGUUCUUUUUCCUCAACCCUUUCAUUUCCUCAGUUAUGUGUUGAUGUACCUGAUCAUUACUGAUUGAAGACAUUGAUUGAAGACAUUCUCUAUUUCCUCAAUCCUAAUUCUUCAGUCUGUUUGUCUUCAUCCUGCUUAUCCUAUGUUUACGCUUUCUGUACUCAGUGCUUGUCUUUCAUUUCAUCAUGAUGACUAUGUUGUUACUCUGUUUUGCUUAUACCUGAGUACUUAUUCCGCUGCAAGUAGUUCUUCGCUUAUGAAUUUCCUCACCCUGAAAUUCCUAAAUGGAGAUUUCUUAAAAAUCGCCUAUUCACCCCCCUCUAGUCGACGUAAUGCACUUUCAAUUGGUAUCAGAGCAAGGUACUCCCUUGUUCUGUAUGAUUUUGGUUUAAUCACCUGGAGUUUUAGUUAUGUCGACUGCAGGAAUGAGGAGUGUGUCCUACCCCAUCUUUGACGGUCAUGAGUAUCCUCGGUGGAAGGCCAUGAUGAAGAAGCGACUCAUGGCAAUGAACAACAAACUGUGGACCGUCACUGAGAUUGGUCUUACCGAUCUAUGCAAGAUAGCGGAGGCUGAUGACAUUCGCAAGUUCACUCUACUCAACCUCACAGCGAGGAUGCCAUCUACUCCUGUUUGUCCCUGUAAGUGCAUCUAGUGCCACCCCUAGUUGGUUUUGGAGCAUUGACGACAAACCUGGUUGAGGGACUAAUGUGUUUGUGAGAAUUGCAGGAUAACACAGGUAGUAGUCCCUCCUUGAUUCGGUUUACCUACCGGAGAUGACCCCUAAAAAUGUGUGAAGACAUUGAAGACAAUGGUGAUCUGUGAAGAUAUUCACAUUGAAGACUAUGACACGAGAAGACAUUGAGUGAAGACUAUGGAGCGCGAAGACUUAGUUGUUUCGUUGCUUCCUUUUCUUCUUUGUUGGGUCAUAGGAACCAUCACACUGUUAAGUGGGGUCCAAGUGAACAAAGUCAGAGUGACUGAAGUGAUGCUCAAACCAAAUCCUAUGUCUUCGAGCGAAGACAAUGAGAGCAAAUCUUAUCCUGUGUCGGAUAAGUCAGCUUUACUUGUAGCCCAAGUCAAGUUGCCGCGUGUGUUUGAAAUCUGACCGUUGCGACACGUGUCAGUUCCUUAGUGACCUAGGGUCAUUUUGGAAAAAUCCGGUCGGGUUGCCCAGUGGAUAUAAAUAGCCCACCCCCUACACCAUAAAUUGGUGGCUGCUCAGAGUUAGUACAUGGCUUUUGUCGUUUGAGAGCAACCCACCGCCGAAGGUUUUGAGAGAGAAUCCUUGCGAGGACAAAGCCCAUACCACCCAGAGCCCAAAGAGUAUUUGGCAUCACUGAAGUCUUUCUGUCCGCGUGAUCUGAAGACUUGUUACACUUGAGGACUGUGAAUCCUCCAGCCGGUUAGGCGUCGCAUUCUGAGCAUCCAAGAGCCAUUGUGGAUUGCCGGUGAACGAAGUCUAUGAAGGUUCAGAAGUGUAACUUGAAGACUUACCAGAGUGAUUGGGCGGGGACUAAGUGUCCUUAGCUCAAGGGAAAUAAGGUGAAGACGCAGUCUUCUGAGUUGAAUCUUAGCCUCCCUAACCAGACGUACAGUUGUCACAGCAACUGGAACUGGUCGAAUAAAUUCCUGUCCUUCUGAAGCCACUGGUUCUAUCUCUUACCUCUAUUUACAUACAAUUUGUCUUCGUGAAGUCAUUGCCUGCUUGCAUUAUCUGUUUGACUUCACUGUGUGACUAUCUGUUCUGAUUGGCUUCAUACUAUCUUCCAUCCUGAUCUCCACUACCUAGAUGCUAUUAGUCUUUGUGCUUUCUCUCUACUGAAUACUUGACUAUGGCUUGUCUAGUGUAGUCUACCUUCCGCUGCAUCCGAAUAGUGUUGUUUAUAUUGUUUGUCUUCGAAACUCCCAUGUUUUGAAGACUUUCAUAAAAAUUGCCUAUUCACCCCCCCUCUAGUCGAUAACUAGCCCUUUCAAUUGGUAUCGGAGCAAGGUACUCCCUUGUUCUGUGUGAUUCGGUUUAACCACCUAGAGUUUAGCUAUGUCGACUGCAGGGAUAAUCAAAGUCUCCACUGCGUGCCCCAUCUUCGAUGGCACUGAAUAUCCCUACUGGAAGAAUAGGAUGCGCAUGCAUCUUGAAGCCAUUGACGUUGAUCUAUGGUAUGUUGUCAAGAACGGCGUUCCCAAGACUGGUGAAGGUGUCACCCCUGUUGAUGUCAAGAAGUUCAUUCAACUGGACUCUACUGCCAAGAACAUCAUUUGUGGUCACCUUACCAAAGGACAGUAUGUCCGUGUGAGUGCUCUCGAAACGUUGAAGCUAGUCUGGGACUGGCUAUCCAAGGUCAAUGAAGGCGUCUCAACUCAGCGAGAUCAACGUAUCAGUACUCUCCGCAACCUCUUCAACCGCUUCAAGAGACACGACAACGAGAAUGUCCAGCUCACAUUUGAUCGCCUCACUGAUAUCAAAAAUGAGCUCCAAGCACUCGGCGCCACUGAGAUCAUGAAGCAUGAGAUAGUGAAGACACUACUGAGAUCUCUUGGCAGCUCAUUUGACACCUUAGCCCUGAUGAUACAAGAACGCCCUGAUUUCAAGACUCUCGAUCCGUCUGACAUACUUGAGAGGCUCAACACACAUGAGUACCAGCUAUCUGAGAAACGAGAUAUCUAUGGCCCCAACUAUGGACGAACUCGAGAUUUGAAGGCAAAGGCUGCUGCUUCCUCAUCUGAAGAAGAAUCUGACUGCAGUUCUGGUGAUCCUGAAGACAUUGGAAAGGAACUUGCUAUGCUUGUGAAGAAGUUCCAGAAAUUCACGAAGAAGAAAGGCUUCAGAAAGUCUUCACGAUCCAGCUCAAGAAAUGAUGAAGCUUCUGCCUAUGAUCACAAGAAGAGAACCUGUCACAAGUGCAAGAAACCUGGUCACUACAUCUCUGAGUGUCCACAGUGGGACAAUGAGAAGAAGAAGAAGAAGAACAAAGAAUAUGAUUCGGAUGACAACAAGAAGAAGAAAUCCUCAAAGUCUUCUUCCAAGUCUUCUUCCAGAUCUUCAUCACACAAGAAAAGCUCAUCUGGCAAGGCCCGUGCUUUUGUUGGCAAGGAAAUGGAUUCUAAGGAGGAGUCAACUUCAGAGGAGGCGGAGGUGGAGUCUGAGGGGGAGUCUGACUCGGGUGUUGCGAGUCUGGCCCUAGCUACUGCCUACGUCGCCAAGUCCAUCUUCAACACCGAAGACAAUGGCUCCGUCACCAACACUGAUGAUAAUGACGAGGAUGACUCACCUCCCACCUACUGCUUCAUGGCACGUGGUGCCAAGGUAAAAUCACGCGAUGCUUACUUUCCAACAUCCAGUGAAGAUUCCUCUGAUGGUGAAUCCAAACCUAGCUACAAAACACUUGCUAAAAUUGCAACUGAACAACAGAAAGCUAUGGAACAUACUCAAAAACUGUUAGACAAAAGUGAUGACCUGUUGGACGCGGAAAUGACCAAGUCUCAGUCCUUAAUUGAAGACAUAAAAAAUCUUCAUAUUAAGUAGCAGGAACUUGAAGGUCGACAUGAAUUGCUCACAACUUCUCAUGAAAAGCUUUCCUAUGAUUAUCUUCAAAGGAAGCAGGAACUUGAGAAAUUGAGAUCGGAUCAUGAAGAUCUUCAAAAGGAAAAUGAGUCACUUCGCGCCCAACAGAUCAGUUCCGCUCAGGAAGGAUUUGAACCACCAUGCCUAAAAUGCAUUGAGCGUGAUAAUGAUGCUUCUGUUGCUGAAUGUUCUACUGCUGCCACUGUUGCAAUAUCUUCAACUGCUGAUGUGGUAACUAACCCCUCUGCUGAGGAUACCACUACUAUUGCUGAUGAGAAUGCCAGGUUGAAGACACUGCUUGAGACAGGGAUGUACAAAAGUCUCAAAGGGCAUCAGACACUGUGUGAUGUCCUCAAAAAGCAGAUUCUGAACCGAAACCCUAGGAAAGAGGGUGUUGGGUUUGAGAGGAAAAUGAAUGUUGAUGGGUCGUACUGGAAGCCUGAGCAGUACCCCAAAACCACAUGGGUUGCUGCAAAGGAACCUCCAGCUGAUCCAUCCACCUUAUCUGGUUUCACUUGUGCUAACCCCAUUAUCAUUGAUGAAUCUUUUGAUGCAAACUAUAAACUGUUUAAGAAUCAGAAUGGUGAAGUGUUUGCCAGGUAUAUUGGUACUAACUGUAGGAAUGGGCCACCAGUGAAGAAGAUAUGGGUUCCAAAAAGUUGUCUUGAGAAUCUUCCAGUGAAUGUCAACAUGACACCAUCUGUGAAGAAGACAAAUCCCAUACCAAAGGCUUCAUAUGGUCCAAAAGCUUCAUACAGACCGAGGACUCAUCUGAGUCACCCUAACGUCAAUUUUUUGCAGGGAAAUCAUACUCAGACCCAUGAAUAUGAGCGUGUUUCCUCAAACCGCUAUGUUCAUAGAACAAAGAAUUUUUUUGCUUAUUCCUAUGAGUAUUAUACACCUCCUGCAAGACUAUUUACUAGGGCUCCAAAGCCGAAAUUCUCAGAUGCUGCACUUAGACUCAUUGCUUCUAAGCCACCCCUGAAAAUGUGGGUGGUUAAGAAAAAUUAACUCUCUUUUGCAGGGAAAGGUCUCCAACCGGAAAUCAAAGGCGUCCAAAACUAAUGCUGGGGACCUUAAACAUCUUGUGGGACGCAAGAUAAAAUGCCCAAAUGGUCUUACUAUGUACUUCAUUCCAGGAUUCCUUGACACUCACCCUAUCUAUCCUAACCAAGAUCUGAAUUUCCAUGUUCCACUUGUUCGUCAAAUGUUUAUGCUUCACAACUCGCUUGGUGAAGCCUAUCCCCCAAACUGCACUGUAGGCUACAACACCUCGUACUUCAGAAUGGAUUAUGGACAGUGGAUGCACUAACCACAUGACGGGCGAUCGAAGUCUUCUGAUGGAUUCAACGCUACAUCCAUCAGACAAAAGUCACAUCACAUUUGCUGACACUGGUAAAAGCAAGGUAUUGGGUCUAGGCAGAGUUGCAAUAUCAAGGGAUCAACACAUGGAUAAAGUGAUGCUUGUUGAAUCCCUUGGUUUCAACUUAAUGUCUGUCUCAAUGCUUUGUGACUUAAACAUGAUUGUGCUAUUUGGAAAAUAUCGAUGCCUUGUACUAAUGGAAUCUGACAAGUCUCUAGUCUUUGAAGGGUAUCGGAAAGACGAUCUAUAUAUGGUAGAUUUCUCAGCAGGACCACAGAUGGUCGUAUGUCUUCUAGCAAAGGCUUCAGAAUGUUGGCUCUGGCAUCGAAGGCUAGGACAUGCUGGCAUGAAGAACUUGCACACUCUCGCAAAGAAGAAGCAUGUCGUGGGCAUCGAAGGCGUCAAAUUCAAGAAGGACCAUCUAUGUGGUGCCUGCGAAGCUGGAAAGAUGACUAGGGCCAAGCAUCCCUCAAAGACAAUCAUGACUACAUCUCAACCCUUCGAGCUGCUUCACAUGGAUCUAUUCGGCCCUACUCACUACUCUACUCUCAAUGCUACUGCUUGCCUCUAUGGUUUCGUAAUUUUUGAUGAUUACUCUAGUGCAGGACUGAAGUGCAAGAUGUCUUCAGACGAUUUGCCAAUCGUGCCAUGACGAACUAUGGCGUCAAGAUCAAGCACAUCAGAAGCGACAAUGGCACUGAGUUCAAGAACACUGUACUCGACCUCUAUCUGGAUACACUUGGUAUCACACAUGAGUUCUCUGCUCCUUAUACACCUCAGCAGAAUGGCAUCGCCGAGCGCAAGAAUAGAACUCUCAUUGAGAUGGCUCGAACGAUGCUUGAUGAGUACAAGACUCCACGGAAGUUCUGGCCUGAAGCCAUUGACACUACUUGCCACAUCAUCAACCGCGUUUAUCUUCACAAGCUUCUGAAGAAAACAUCCUGUGAGCUCCUAACUGGUAAGAAGCCAAAUGUAAGCUACUUCAGAGUAUUUGGUGCUAGGUACUAGAUCAAGGAUCCACAUCACACUUCAAAAUUUGCACCGAAAGCACAUGAAGGUUUUAUGCUUGGUUAUGCGAAGGAUUCGCACUCCUAUAGAGUCUUCAACCUCUUUCACUAUAAAGUGGUUGAAACUGUGGAUGUGCGGUUCGAUGAAACUAACGGCUCACAAAGAGAGCACCUGCCAAAUGUGCUAGAUGAAGUACCUCCAAGUGAAUCUAUCAAGCAGAUGGGAAUUGGAGAUAUCAUACCUUCUGAGAAUCAAUCUGAAGAGGAACUUGUCAUUUCUGCACCCAAUCAACUUGAAGAAAAUUCUUAGCCUGAAGACAAUCCCCCAAAUGAUGACAUUGAUCAGCAAGAGCAAAAUCUUCGUCCUGCGCAUCCUCGUGUUGCAAAUGAAGUUCAGAUUGAGAAGAUAAUUGACAGCUUGAAUGCACCUGGUCCACUCACUCGUUCAAAAGUAACUCAAAGUAACCAACUUCUGUGGGCAUUUUGCAUUUGUCUCAAUCUCUGAACCUAAGAAAGUUGAUGAAGCCUUCAUGGAACCUGAAUGGAUUCAAGCUAUGCAAGAAGAGCUUCAACAGUUCGAGCUGAAUAAUGUGUGGGAAUUGGUCAAGCGUCCUGAUCCUCGGAAGCACAAUAUCAUCGGCACCAAAUGGAUAUAUCGCAACAAGCAAGAUGAGCAUGGUCAAGUUGUCAGAAACAAGGCUCGUCUCGUUGCGCAAGGUUACACUCAAGUGGAAGGAAUUGACUUCGAUGAAACAUUUGCUCCGGUGGCAAGACUUGAAGCCAUUCACAUACUGCUAGCCUAUGAAAAUCAUCACAACAUUCUUCUGUAUCAAAUGGAUGUGAAAAGUGCUUUUCUCAAUGGAAAGAUAGUAGAAGAAGUAUAUGUCGCACAACCUCCAGGCUUUGAAGAUCCAAAACAUCCUGAUAUGGUAUACAAGCUCAACAAGGCACUGUAUGGCCUCAAACAAGCCCCUCGUGCUUGGUAUGACACGCUCAAAGACUUCCUGGAGAGCAAAGGCUUCAAACCUGGUUCACUAGAUCCUGCACUCUUCACGAAGACAUAUGAUGGUGAACUAUUUGUGUGCCAAAUCUAUGUGGAUGACAUUAUCUUCGGCUGCACCAACAAGAAAUACAGUGAUGAAUUUGGUCACAUGAUGCAAGAGCAAUAUCAAAUGUCCAUGAUGGGCGAGCUGAAGUUCUUUCUGGGUCUUCAAAUACGUCAGCAACACAAUGGCAUCUUCAUAUCACAAGAAAAAUAUCUCAAAGACUGCCUGAAGAAGUUUGGAUGCAAGAUUGCAAAGGAUACACGACGCCAAUGCCAACCAAAAGUCAUUUAGGUCCCGACGACAAUGGUAAAGAGUUUGAUCAAAAGGUAUAUCGCUCCAUGAUUGGUUCUUUGCUUUACUUAUGUGCAUCUAGGCCAUAUAUAAUGCUUAGUGUUUGCAUGUGUGCCCGAUUCCAAGCGGCACCAAAGGAAUUGCAUCACUUAACUGUGAAGCGAAUUCUUCAAUAUUUGGCUUGCACCCCAACACAAGGAUUAUGGUAUCCAAAGGGCUCAGAGUUUGAUCUAGUUGGAUUCUCAGAUGCUGAUUAUCCUGGUGACAAGGUUGAUCGCGAGUCCACAUCAGGCACAUGUCACUUUCUGGGAUGAUCUCCUGUCUGUUGGUCUUCAAAGAAGCAGAACUGUGUAUCUCUCUCUACUGCUGAAUCUGAAUACAUUGUUGCUGGAUCUUGCUGUGCUCAACUUCUGUGGAUGAAGCAAACUCUCAAGGACUAUGGAAUCCAUCUGAAGAAUGUGCCUCUCUACUGUGAUAAUGAGAGUGCCAUCAAGAUUGCCAACAACCCAGUUCAGCACUCGAAGACAAAGCACAUUGAAAUUCGUCAUCACUUUCUCAGAGAUCAUAUUAUGAAGGAAGAUAUUGAUAUCAUUCACGUCAAGACAGAAGAGCAGUUGGCUGAUAUCUUCACAAAGCCCUUGGAUGAGAAAAGGUUUUGCAAGUUGCGGUGUGAGCUAAAUAUCUUAGAAUCCUCAAAUGUCCUGUGAAUGGGCACACAUCCUAACACUCAUGCAUUUUGAUGACUUCGAUGUGCAACACACGAAGUAAUGUAUAUCUUCAAUAGAUGAAGACAUACACUCUAAGUGUGAAUACAUUAAUGCGGAAUUUGACUUCGGAGCGCCACGAUAAUUGUGCGCCGUGUAUGGGUCUAAUACUUCCUAUACGGUGGGUAACGCCACCACCAAAUUUUUGUUUGAAGUGUUUCUCUUGGCAUUAUGUUUGCAUAGUUUUCAUAUUGGAUUCAUAUUCAUCCUUGGCUUAUAUUCAAGUCUAUCUUCAAUUGGUUGAAUUGGACUAGUACUAUAUAUAUUUAUGUGUGUUUUGUCCUCUACAACAUUCACUUAUAGCUAUGGUUUCGUGUUGAAUCUUUUGAACUAAGUGAAUGUGAUCGGAACCUAUCUAUGCUUCUACCUCAACUCUAUCUGUCCAAGUCAUAUGCAUUCUAUUGGAAACUAUCGAUUGUCUUCACUAAGACCUUGUUAGCUGAAGUCAAUCUGACAAACAUUUACAUCUAUUUUUAAUGCUUUAUCCUAUUUGCCUGAAACCCGGAGAAUUUGGAAUGACCACCCCGACAAUCCAGGCGUGCGUGGGAACAUGGAACAACUCCCAGGCUGUUGCAUGCUUGCCACGUGUUCGUCAGAUGUGAACCGCCAGGGGCACCCGCAUAAUUGCGUUGUGUCAUCCCUGUCCUUAUAAAUACCCGUCACGUCUCGGUCAAAAUUCCUUCUUCCUCCUCGCCAUCUCUCGCAGACCCUAGCGCCUCCACUAGCUCUCGACGACGUCGAGGACGAAGCGCUUAGCUGUAGCGACUUCUUCGACGCCAUCCUCACGCCGACCGCGGACCUCGUCCUCUCCGCCGUCGCCGUAGGUGUCUUCUGUCGCCAAGUUAGGGCAUGGGAGAUCGAACUUCUUGGCCCCUACCUUCGCUCCGUCUAGCAGUUCUUCGUGUGGUAAUUAAAUUUUACCUUCUACCGUCUUUUCGGUCUGAUAGAUUCAUCCGUCUUUACCAAAAGUGGUUUCUAGAUCUCCAUAUUUGAAUCUAUCUCAUUCUGCAUCUCAUAUUCUGCCUAGUAUAUUCACUUAUGCUUCUUUACAAGUUAGAUUCCUCACUUGUACUUAUUCUUGGAUUUGUACAACUCUGGAACCAACUCUCAUCAAAUAAGUGAAUGUCUUCGCAUUAUGAGGUCAAUAUCUUCAAACUGAUUUAUCUUCAAAAUCUUUUGAGAAUGCAUAUGACCUCUUCCCCUUCCUCGCACCUCUAAUGUUGUCACAGGUACAUGUCCGUGGGAGAAUCCCUUGGUUCUCAUAGUCUGCAUUCGUUUGCAGAAUUCUUACAGAGUCACAUCAAUUCACCUGAAGCCAGUUCUUGUCUGACCAGCCGUUUGAAGCCAUUGCACGUACCGAAGCCCUUCAGUUUAAACUUCAUGGAAACUAAGAAGUCAGCAUGAAAGGGAGGUAGACAGCGCCGUGGUAACACUUCCAAGGAUUUGCCUCCAGAUUUGCACGAGCUGUACAAAACAGGCCCUGAGGAAACCUAUACCGGCCACAAGAAUCGAAUCCGGUGGAUUCAAAGAUAUUGGGCAGAAUAAUGGUUCAAAUACCGCUUCGAAGAAUAUGCAGAGAAGAAUGCCAUCAAGGGACCCUGGGGAGAUAUUGUGUACAAAAAUCUUCAACCCCAGUCCCUUCCUGAAGCCAUCCAACAAGAAUUCUAUCGGUGCAUGAUUCGCGGACCGCAGCCAGAGAACGCUGAUCCUUCUUCUCUACUGUGGUGCCGUGAAGACCAUCUGUUCAAGCGCAACUACCAGUUCGCCAAAGACUCAGCUGCGAAGAACAAGAAGGCUCUAGGGCUUGACUUCAACCCUGGUCCUUCCUCACCUCGGGACGAUGGCACCCGUGAAGCCAAUGAGAACAUGAUCGGCCCCUUCUACAACCUUGCUGGCCUCAUCACCCACAUUACUGUCCAAGGUGCCAAAGUGGAUCAUUCUGAUGAUGGUGCUGACACUGAUGAAGCUCCAACUCCUACUCCAAAGCCACAGAAGCAAAAGAAGGCUAAAGCUUCAAAGUCAUCUGCUGCUCCAAAAGCUUCACGAGUGAAGCCAUUGGCAACUGCCCCUCCUACUCCCAGUAACACCUCUGAAGAUCUCUCUCGCAUCUCCAAGAAGCGUGAGAAGCCACAUAAGAAACACGUUCAACGACACAGUCAAGCACUGACACCUGCUGCCGUUCUGAGGAACGAAUCUGAAGCCAUUGAUUUUUCUUCAGAUGAAGAAUUUGGCAAUGAUGCUCUCGAGCAGUUGAUCAAGAGCAAGCAAGAGGCGGAGAUCUUCAAUGAUCUGCCCCUCUUCGAUGUGAACAUCUUGCACAAUUUCAUUGAUGAAUGGUUCGACAAUCAAGAUCUCAGCUUUGAUGAUCUUCAACUCCCCAUUGGCAUCAGCGUCUCCUUUCAAGGCGCCAUUGCUCCUGAGCUGGCUCUGGCUCAGCAAAUUGUUGAACUGAAGCACAAGAUUGAUUUUGAGAAGGAAAAGUUCAAGAAGCAUGUGGCCAAGCUGAGUGUGGUUGAUGUCCAGAAAUUCAAGGUGAUGCUCAAUGACCUCAAGGAGGCGUUUCGCAAGAAACGUGAGGAAGCCAAAGGCUCAAGAGAGCGCAUGAAAACUCUUGCUGCCAAGUGUGUUCAGGCUUACAACGAAGCUGAAAAGCGCAAGGCUCCUGGGCGUCCUAGCAUUGACCCCAAGAUGGCUGCCAAGCAGAAGAAGAAGCACACUGUGGCCCAGGCUGAAGCUCCAUGGCGGGAAGAACCUCACAUUGUCUUCCCAGCCAGCAUGACAGGCUGAAGCCUAAGGUCUCCACAGUGGCUUCAGAUCAGCAGAAAACCAAGGCAGCUGAAGCCGAAGCCAGAAAGUGCAAAAUCAAGUGCACCACUGAUGAUGCACCACCCCCCAAGAAGAGAAAAACCAAGAAGAGAGAUCGGGCUGCUCCCACAUAGCCCCUUAUAGUUGAACCCAUUGCUUUCGCACACCCUGACCCUGACAAUCAAGAGCGUCAGUUGAUCAUUCAUGAGUCUGCUUCCACAGAGGCUCCUGAAGCUCAAGAAGUUCCAGUCGUUGACCCCAUCGCGACUGAAGACAUUGGUCCUCACGACAAUGUAGAAGAUGAUGUAGUUCUUCCUCAGAUUGAGCGCCCGACGGUAUCAUCGCUUGUUCUCACGAACAGCGAGCUCAUCAGUAUUGCUCGUCCUUUGACGCCAAUCUCUCAACAUGCCUCGUGGGCUGAUCUCCCCCAACCAGCAACCCCAAGUCAAGAUUCACAAAGUACACCCCGUCCUCCACCAGCGCAAGCCAUCAGUCCAUUGGUGAAUGAUGAUAACUAUAUGGAGACCACACCCUCGCCAAAGGCGUCGCCCGUUUUUCAACGGCUUCGCAAAGGUCUCAAGCCCUCGGUCUCCAUGACCACCAUCACAGAAGAAGACUCAAACCCGUGUUGGAAAUAUGCCCUAGAGGCAAUAAUAAAAUGGUUAUUAUUAUAUUUCUUUGUUCAUGAUAAUUUUCUGUUAUUCAUGCUAUAACCGUGUUAUCCGGAAAUCGUAAUACACGUGUGAAUACAUAGACCAUAACAUGUCCCUAGUAAGCCUCUAGUUGACUAGCUCAUUGAUCAAUAGAUAGUCAUGGUUUCCUGACUAUGGGCAUUGGAUGUCGUUGAUAACGGGAUCACAUCAUUAGGAGAAUGAUGUGAUGGACAAGACCCAAUCCUAAGCAUAGCUCAAAGAUCGUGUAGUUCGUUUAGCUAGAGCUUUUCCAAAUGUCAAGUAUCAUUUCCUUAGACCAUGGGAUUGUGCAACUCCCGGAUACCGUAGGAGUGCUUUGGGUGUGCCAAACGUCGCAACGUAACUGGGUGACUAUAAAGGUGCACUACGGGUAUCUCCGAAAGUGUCUGUUGGGUUGGCAUGAAUCGAGACUGGGAUUUGUUACUCCGUAUGAUGGAGAGGUAUCUCUGGGCCCACUCGGUAAUGCAUCAUCAGAAUGAGCUCAAUGUGACCAAGUGUCUGGUCAUGGGAUCAUGCAUUACGGUACGAGUAAAGUGACUUGCCGGUAACGAGAUUAAAUGAGGUAUUGGGAUACCGACGAUCGAGUCUCGGGCAAGUAACGUACCGAUUGACAAAGGGAAUUGUAUACGGGGUUGAUUAAAUCCUCGACAUCGUGGUUCAUCCUAUGAAAUUAUCGAGGAGCAUGUGGGAGCCAACAUGGGUACCCAGAUCCCGCUAUUGGUUAUUGACCGGAGAGGCGUCUCGGUCAUGUAUGCAUGUCUCCCAAACCCGUAGGGUCUACACACUUAAGGUUCGGUGACGCUAGGGUUGUAGAGAUAUUAGUAUGCAGUAACCUGAAAGUUGUUCGGAGUCCCGGAUGAGAUCCCGGUCGUCACGAGGAGUUCCGGAAUGGUCCGGAGGUGAAGAAUUAUAUAUAGGAAGUCAGGUUUCGGCCAUCGGGAAAGUUUCGGGGGUUGCCGGUAUUGUACCGGGACCACCGGAAGGGUCCCGGGGGUCCACCGGGUGGGGCCACCUAUCCCGGAGGGCCCCAUGGACUGAAGUGGGAGGGGAACCAGCCCCUGGACGGCUGGUGCGCCCCCCUUGCCCCCCCUGCACCUAGGGUUGGAAACCCUAGGGGUGGGGGCGCCUCCACCUGGCUUGGGGGGCAAGAUUCCCCCCUGGCCGCCGCCCCCCCUUGGAGAUCCCAUCUCCUAGGGCCGGUGCCCCCUAGGGGGCCUAUAUAAAGAGGGGGGAUGGAGGGUAGCCGCACCCAUGCUCUUGGCGCCUCCCUCUCCCAUUGCUACACCUCUCCCUCUCGUAGAAGCUCGGCGAAGCUCUGCCAAGAUCACUGCUGCAUCCACCACCACGCCGUCGUGUUGCUGGAUCUCCGUCAACCUCUCCUCCCCCCUUGCUAGAUCAAGAAGGAGGAGACGUCUUCCUCAACCGUACGUGUGUUAAACGCGAAGGUGCUGUCCGUUCAGCACUAGGAUCAUCGGUGAUUUGGAUCACGACGAGUACGACUCCCUCAACCCCGUUCUCUUGAACACUUCCGCUCGCGAUCUACAAGGGUGUGUAGAUGCACUCCUUUCUCUCGUUGCUAGAUGAACUCAUAGAUUGAUCUUGGUGAAAGCGUAAGAAAAUUUUAUUUUCUGCAACGUUCCCCAACAACCAGUCCAGCUCAGUGGCACGUCAAGUGUUCCCUGAAGACAAUCCUUCUAUGACGGUUCCCUCGUCUGAAGCCAAUGUUGCUGAAGACAAUCCGGCUGCAUCAGCCGCAGAAAUACAAGAAGAAGAGCAUGUUGCUACUCCCCCUACCACCCAAGAAGUUGUUCUCGAGGAGAACGUAUCUGUGCCCGACCCUCCAGCUCCUCAAGUGGAGGUUGAGAAUCCUGAGGUGUCCACCAACAACACCUCUGAAGCCAAUGACGUUGUCAUGGCUGAAGACAAUGUGGUGCCUGCAGUGAACACUAUGCUUGAAGCCCCUAUUGCUCCUACAACGAAUGUGCAGCCUGACGCCUUUGCUGAUGCCACUGCUCCUAUUCCGCCACCAAGGCCCCACACCAUUGAGAAUGCAUUCUACCAAGGAGAGCUUGUUCCUGUCAGAUGGCCAAUUCUGGUACCUCUGCCUGCUCCUAGACCGCAAUUUGACUAUCAUGUGGAGCAUAGGCCUUAGGUUUAGAAGCCAAAACCAAGGCUGGCAAGGUUCCCAGGAACUGCAUCGGCACCAAGCUCAUUCAAUGUUAACGGCUUCAUUGCACACAACACCUUCUUCGAUACUGGCAAGAACCCAUACUCCAAGCCAAGAAUAUCAUCAGAUCGGUUCUGGAGCUAUCAGCAGCGCAACUACUACUCCUGUAUUCUAUACAAUCAGGAGCGCAUAUUUCCUCAUAUGCGUUUGGACAGUGAAGCCAUUGCUGGUCUGCCUUGCCUAGAAGAAGCCCUAGACUGCUUUCGUGAUGCUGGCCUUCUGCAGUUUGUCACCGACAAGGAGCAUUGGAAUGAAGAGCUUCUCCUGCAAUUCUAUGCAACCCUCCACAUUCGUGGCUACAACAGGGAUACAACGACAUGGGUCCUUGAGUGGAUGACGGGCAACGUUCAUCAUGAAGCCAAAGCCUUUGAUCUCAAUGACCUUAUCGGCCUCUCCACUCCAGGCGAACUGUAUGAACCUGGUUGUCAGCUUCAUCGCGAUGCAUUGGAGAACAUCUUUCAGAAGCCAGAGCCCAACAUGAGCCAGAUGCUUAGUAUGAUGAAGCCACUGCCCCAGGAUGCUGAGUAUCCCAAGGAAUUCCUUGUUGAAGACCUAGAGUAUCUGCCCCGCACUAUUUAUCAUAUCAUUAGGCGAACUCUAUGGCCCAUCAAAGGGCAUUCCUCCUUGGCAAAGCUUGAAGGUGCAAUGAAGACAUUGGUCUUCUACAUUCUAAAUGGCAAAAGCUUCAGUACUCAAGAUUUCUUCAUUCGCCAGUUUGCUGCAUCUGGGUCUGACAUUUUUGGUCUGAAGUUCUAUGCUCCUUGGAUCAUGCGUCUGAUCAAGCUCCACUCUGCCAUUGACUAUCAGCCCUCUGCUCGUAACCAUCUCAUAUUUUUACCAGAGGUUGAUAAGUCCAUUGAAGCCAUUUACCCAGAGCCUGCCAAGGAAGCACUAUAUCUUCACAAUAUAGAUCGUCAGAGCUUUUCCCAGCAUGUUGAAGGAGUUCAGGUUGCUUCUCGUGUUUAUCCACUGGCCGGCAACACUCGCCGUGCACGCACUGAAGCCACUGAAAGUACCAUUGCUCCAAGGCCUCGGAAGCGCUAUCGUGUGCUCAAUGACCGAGAGCUUCUCGUGGCCUUGCAUCAAAAGCAUGACAAGCAUCAUUACUGGAUGAAGCGUCAAAUGCAAAGCCUCUUGGUGGAUGUCAAUCGCAUUCGCAAUCUUGCCACCAAGAAUGCCUUUGUCACCCAUGAAACCUGUGGGAGGUCUUGGAAGAGUUUGACAUUGCUAAGUGAUGAAGCUGAUCUUCAAGACGAUGGCUUCACUGAGCGAUUCAAGUUCGACUCCACUCCUCCCAGGAAUGAUGUCUUACGUCGAACCCGGUCUCUUGAAGACUCAGAGUACUCCUCCUCCGCAGCAACUGUGAAUGCCAGAGUCUUGGAUGACGCAGAUGAUGCUACCUCACCACCUCCAACCUCAGCGCGUGUCGACACUACACCAAGUUCUUCUGCACCACCAAACCUCAAUGAUGACCCUGCUGCUUCUCCUACUCCUCAUGGGAACGAGUAGAGCCUAUGUCUUCAAAUCUUUUUGGUCCUUACUGACAAAACGGGGAGAAGCAUAGGUUGGUAGUCUUCAAGCGGGUCUUGAUGGGUGGUUGAUAUACUUUUUUCCUAAGUACUUACAACUCUCGUUUUGCUACAUUUGGUUCUUUGAGCUGUAACACUUAAACUUGAUGGUCGUCUGCUACUUUUUCUGCUAUUCUGUGUGAUGCGAUGAUAAAUUCCGCAUAUGCGAUGAUAAAUCCCGCAUGAACUCAUUCUGCAGAUGUCCAUUUUUCAUUAUGCAUGUCAUUAUUCCUGUAUAUCUUUUCAUGCAUGAUGUAUUGUCUUCAUAUGGUGAAGAGGAUCUCCACGAGUACAACCUGCCAUGUGCAUUUGCAUUCCAAUGCAAAACAUUUAUAUGCACAUCUUUAGGGGGAGCCUUUUUGUCAUCUAUGAAGACAAUAUCUUAAUCCUUACAAUUUCACAUACUUUUAUCCCCGUUGAAAACUUCAACCAGUUUGUCAUCAAUCACCAAAAAGGGGGAGAUUGUAAGUGCAUCUAGUGCCACCCCUAGUUGGUUUUGGAGUAUUGACGACAAACCUGGUUGAGGGACUAAUGUGUUUGUGAGAAUUGUAGGAUAACAUAGGUAGUAGUCCCUCCUUGAUUUGGUUUACCUACCGGAGAUGACCUAAAAAUGUGUGAAGACAUUGAAGACAAUGGUGGUCUGUUGAUGACCCACAAGUAUAGGGGAUCGCAACAGUUUUCGAGGGUAGAGUACUCAACCCAAAUUUAUUGAUUCGACACAAGGGGAGCCAAAGAAUAUUCUCAAUUAUUAGCAGUUGAGUUGUCAAUUCAACCACACAUGGAAACUUAGUAUCUACAGCAAAGUAUUUAGUAGCAAAGUAAUAUGAUAGUGGUGGUAACGGUAACAAAAGUAAAGACAGUAAAAAUAAUGUUUUUGGUAUUUUGUAAUGAUUGUAAUAGUAGCAACGGAAAAGUAAAUAAGUGUAAACCAGUAUAUGGAAAACUCGUAGGCACCGGAUUAGCGAUGGAUAAUUAUGCCGGAUGUGGUUCAUCAUGUAGCAGUCAUAACAUAGGGUGACACAGAACUAGCUCCAGUUCAUCAAUGUAAUGUAGGCAUGUAUUCCGCAUAUAGUCAUACAUGCUUAUGGAAAAGAACUUGCAUGACAUCUUUUGUCCUACCCUCCCGUGGCAGCGGGGUCCUAUUGGAAACUAAGGGAUAUUAAGGCCUCCUUUUAAUAGAGAACGGGAACAAAGCAUUAGCACAUAGUGAAUACAUGAACUCCUCGAACUAUGGUCAUCACCGGGAGUGGUCCCAAUUAUUGUCACUUUGGGGUUGCCGGAUCAUAACACAUAGUAGGUGACUAUAGACUUGCAAGAUAGGAUCUAGAACACACAUAUAUUCAUGAAAACAUAAUAGGUUCAGAUCUGAAAUCAUGGCACUCGGGCCCUAUUGACAAGCAUUAAGCAUAGCAAAGUCAUAACAACAUCAAUCUCAGAACAUAAUGGAUACUAGGGAUCAAACCCUAACAAAGCUAACUCGAUUACAUGAUAAAUCUCAUCCAACCCAUCACCGUCCAGCAAGCCUACGAUGCAAUUACUCACGCACGACGGUGAGCAUCAUGAAAUUGGUGAUGGAGGAUGGUUGAUGAUGACGACGGCGACGAAUCCCCCUCUUCGGAGCCCCGAACAGACUCCAGAUCAGCCCUCCUGAGAGAGAUUAGGGCUUUGCGGCGGCUCCAUAUCGUAAAACACGAUGAUUUCUUCUCUCUGAUUUUUUUCUCCCCGAAAGCCAAUAUAUGGAGUUGGAGUUGGCGUCGGAGGGCCACCAGGAGGCCCACGAGGUAGGGGGCGUGCCCAGGGGGGGCACCCUCGUGAGCAGGGUGUGGGCCCCCUGGUCUUCAUCUUUUGCAAGGAUUUUUCUUUAUUUUUUCUAAGGUGUUCCAUGGAGUUUCAGGACAUUCCGAUAAUUUUUAUUUUCUGCACAUAAAACAACACCAUGGUAGUUCUGCUGAAAACAGGGUCAGUCCGGGUUAGUUCCAUUCAAAUCAUACAAGUUAGAGUCCAAAACAAGGGCAAAAGUGUUUGGAAAAGUAGAUACGAUGGAGACGUAUCAACUCCCCCAAGCUUAAACCCUUGCUUGUCCUCAAGCAAUUCAGUUGACAAACUGAAAGAGAAAAAGAAAAACUUUUACAAACUCUGUUUGCUCUUGUUUAUGUAAACAUGAAAAGCCAGCAUUCAAGUCUCAGCAAUUAUUAUAAACUAACCAUACUCACAAUGACACGUAGGUCUCACAAUUACUCAUAUCAAUAGCAUAAUCAACUAGCGAGCCAUAAUAGAAAAACUCGGAUGACAACACUUUCUCAAAAUAAUCAUAACAUGAUAUAACAAAAUGGUAUCUCGCUAGCCCUUUCUGAGACCGCAAAACAUAAAUGCAGAGCACCUUUAAAGAUCAAGUACUGACUAAACAUUGUAAUUCAUGGUAAAAGAGAUCCAGUCAAGUCAUACCCAAUAUAAACCAAUAAUAAUGAAUGCAAACGACAGUGUGCUCUCCAGCUGGUGCUUUUUAAUAAGAAGGGUGAUGACUUAACAUAAAAGUAAAUAGAUAGGCCCUUCGCAGAGGGAAGCAGAGAUUUGUAGAGGUGCCAGAGCUCGGUUUUGAAAUAGAGAUAAAUUAUAUUUUGAGCGGCAUACUCUCAUUGUCAACAUAACAACUAAAAGACGACGAUAUCUUCCAUGCUAAACAGAUUAUAGGCAGUUCCCAAACAAAAUGGUAAAGUUUAUACUCCCCUUCCUCCACAAGCAUCAAUCCAUGGCUUGCUCGAAACAACGAGUGCCUCCAACAUUCAACGGGUCCCAAGGGGAGUUUUGUUUGCAGUUAUUUGGAUUUAGUUUGCAUAAAGCAUGGGACUGGGCAUCCCGGAUACCAGCCAUUUUCUCGUGAAUGAGGAGCGGAGUCCACUCCUCUUGAGAAUAACCUGCCUAACACGGAAGAUAAGGGCAGCUCUAGUUGACAUCUGAGCUAUUCGAGCAUGCAAAACAGAAUGUUUAUUUGAAGGUUUAGAGUUUGGCACAUACAAAUUUACUUGGAACGGCAGGCAAAUACCACAUAUAGGUAGGUAUAGUGGACUCAUAUGGAAUAACUUUGGGGUUUAAGGAGUUUGGAUGCACAAGCAGUAUUCCCUCUUAGUGCAGGUGAAGGCUAGCAAAAGACUGGGAAGCGACCAACUGAAAGAGAGACAACAGUCGUAAACAUGCAUUAAAAUUAAUUCACACCGAGUACAAGCAUGAGUAGGAUAUAAUCCACCAUGAACAUAAAUAUCAUGAAGGCUGUGUUGAUUGGAUUCAACUACAUGCGUGAACAUGUGCCAAGUCGAGUCACUCAAUGCAUUUAAAGGAGGAUACCACCCCAUCAUACCACAUCAUAAUCAUUCUAAUAGCAUGUUGACACGCAAGGUAAACCAUUAUAACUCAUAGCUAAUCAAGCAUGGCACAAGCAACUAUAAUCUCUAAAUGUCAUUGCAAAUAUGUUUACUUCAUAAUAGCUGAAUCAAGAACGAUGAAUCAUCAUAUUUACAAAAACAAGAGAGGUCGAGUUCGUACCAGCUUUUCUCUUCCCAAUAAGUCCAUCAUAUAUUAUCAUUAUUGCCUUUCACUUGCACCAUAGAACGGUGUGUAUAAUAAUAAGAGUGCAUGUGCAUUGGACUAAGCUGGAAUCUGUAAGUAUUCAACUCAAGAGAGAAGACAAGUAAUAUGGGCUCUAAGUUUAAAUAAUCAAUCAUGCAUGUAAGAGCCACUAAGCAUUUUCAACAUGGUCUUCUCGACCCCCAAAGAAAGAAAAGAAAUAAAAACUAUUUACACGGGAAAGCUCCCAACAAGUAAAAGAAGAACGGGAAAUAUUUUUGGGUUUUCUUUUUAAUUCUACUACAAGCAUCAAAAGUAAGCUAACUAAUUUUUUUGGUUUUUCUUAAAGUUUAUCAAACACACAAGAAGAAAGCAGGAAAAAGAAAUUUAAACUAGUAUGGAUAAUACAAUGAAAGAGUAUGAGCACCGACAUCUAGCAAUGAGUGUGUGUGAACAUAAAUGAAAUGUCGGUGGGAAAUACGUACUCCCCCAAGCUUAGGCUUUUGGCCUAAGUUGGUCUAUUGACAGGGAUGGCCCGGCGGAUAUCCAUAGGUGAAGCUGGGGUCGUAGUGUGACGUAGCGGCUAUCGCCGCCUGAGCUGUAGCCUGGAGUCGAGCAGCCUCCACUCUCCUUUCGUACUCAUCUGCCUCCUCUCUGGUAAUAAUUUAUCUUCUUUUUGCGUGUGAAUCAAAGAAAGCAGGAGCAGGAAGAGCAAUAUGGACUACACGAUGUCUGUCAAAGAUUAGUCGAUACUGGAGAGGUGGUCCAGUCCUCUCAACAAACUGAUGGGAAACCAUAGAAUCAAAAUCUAAAUAAGAAGUGGGUAAUUCCAUAUCACCCUCACGAAUGUCUACCUCAAGAAAAUUAGCUAAGCGGGUUGCAUAAAUUCCUCCAAAGAAAUCUCCGCUAUGUCUAUUCUGAUGCAACCUGCGAGCUAUAAUGGCUCCCAAAUGAUAAGAUUGGUCUCCUAACACAGCACUUCUGAGAAUACUGAGAUCAGGGACACACAUAUGACAUGCUUCAUCCUUAGCAUUUAUACAUCUACCUAUGAAGAGAGCAAAAUAAUAUAUAGCAGGAAAGUGAAUGCUCCCUAUAGUAGCUUGCGUUAUAUCUCUAGAUUCCCCCACAGUUAUUCUAGCAAGAAAGUCUCUAUAUUCGGAUUUAGGGGGAUCCCUGACAUUACCCCAAGAUGGAAGUUUGCAAGCAGAAGUAAGAUCCUCUAAGUCCAUGGUAUAAGAUUUUUCAUAAAGGUCAAACAUGACUGAAAGAGAAUUUCGCGAAGUUGAAAACUCAAACCUCCUCACAAAUGAACUUGUGAGAUCAUGAUACUGGGGGCAUUUGUCAGCUUCAAAGUCCUCAAGACCGGUGUUACUCAAAUAUGCGCUAAAUUCUUCUUUGAUUCCCACUUGAUUCAUAAAAUUUUCUGACGGCCAUUCACAGGGCCUCACAGGAGCGUCUCUUGGUGGUUCCUCAUCGGCAUCACGUAUUGCGAGCCUGGGACCUUGCUUCCUUGAGGGACCACCUUGGAACAUCCUCCUAAGCAUAUUGUUUCCUCUGGAAAAUUUCUGAAAUUUUAGUAACUUCAAAUAAAAGUGAACCAACUUCAAUAAAAUUGAUAGCAACAACUCCCAAGGGUGCCUAGGGCCUAUAUAAAGCAUUAGAACUACUUGGAACCAUAUAAAUUUGUCAUGCAAGCUCAAGAACAUGGUCACCUAUGCAACACAAACUUGCAAAGAAUAAAGCACUAGAACAAAAACUAAUUGGACCAAUGGAGGAGUCACAUACCAAGGAACAAUCUCCCCAAGCAGUUUUGCGUGAGGUGCUUUGAGCAAGGAGAUCGAAAAUCACAGCAACGGGGGCUGGAACUCGUGCUUGAGUUGGUUUUUCGUGUUUGUGUGAGGCAGAGUAAGAAGAUGGGUGCAGGAAUAAGUGGAGGAGGGCCACCGUGGCCCCACGAGGCAGGGGGGCGCGCCCAGGGGGGUAGGGCGCCCCUCCACCCUCGUGGCCAGGUGGCAGCUCCCCCCGUGGUAAUUUUUGCAUAGUAAAUUCUCAAAUAUUCCCGAAAAAAUCAUAUUAAAUUGGCAUGGCAUUCUGAGGACUUUUAUUUUCUGGAUAUUUUUAUAUUGCACGGAUAAGUCAGGAAAUAGACAGAAAAAUAUUAUUUUACUUUAUUUCUACUAAAUAACAGAAAAUAUAAAGAGGGUAUAGAAAGUUGUGCUUCUAGUUUCAUCCAUCUCGUGAUCAUCAAAAUGAACCCACUAACAAGGUUGAUCAAGUCUUGUUAACAAACUCACUCCGAAUAAUCCCGGAACCGGAGAAAUUUCGAAUGACACUAAGUUACAUCAACGGGGAUAUGAAAAUCCCCAACAAUAAGAAUAUCAUACUUUUUCUUGACAGUAGGGAGAGGAAAUUCGAAACCUCCAAAUAUAAUUGAUGCAAUUUUCCCAAUAGAGUUAAUACUAUAAACUUGAGGUUGUUUCCUCGGAAAGUGUACGGUAUGCUCAUUGCCAUUAACAUGAAAAGUGACAUUGCCUUUGGUGCAAUCAAUAACAGCCCCUGCAGUAUUAAGGAAAGGUCUUCCAAGAAUAAUAGACAUGCUAUCAUCCUCGGGAAUAUCAAGAAUAACAAAGUCCGUUAAAAUAGUAAUGUUUGCAACUACAACAGGCACAUCCUCACAAAUACCGACAGGUAUAGCAGUUGAUUUAUCAGCCAUUUGCAAAGAUAUUUCAGUAGGUGUCAACUUAUUCAAAUCAAGUCUAUGAUAUAAAGAAAGAGGCAUGACACUAACAUCGGCUCCAAGAUCACAUAAAUCAGUUUUAACAUAAUUUCUUUUAAUGGAGCAUGGUAUAGUAGGUACUCCGGGAUCUCCAAGUUUUUUUGGUAUUCCACCCUUAAAAGUAUAAUUAGCAAGCAUGGUGGAAAUUUCAGCUUCAGGUAUCUUUCUUUUAUUAGUAAUAAUAUCCUUCAUAUACUUAGCAUAAGGAUUUGUUUUGAGCACAUCAGUUAAUCGCAUACGCAAAAAGAUGGGUCUAAUCAUUUCAGCAAGGCGCUCAAAAUCCUCAUCAUCCUUUUUCUUGGAUGGUUUCGGAGGAAAACGCAUGGGUUUAUGAACCCAUGGUUCCCUUUCUUUACCAUGUUUCCUAGCAACAAAAUCUCUUUUAUCAUAACAUUGAUUCUUUGAUUGUGGGUUAUCAAGAUCAACAGCGGGUUCAACUUCUACAUCAUUAUCAUUACUAGGUUGAGCACCAACAUGAACAUUAUCAUUAACAUUAUCACUAGGUUCAUGUUCAUCACCUGAUUGUGUUUCAGCAUCAGAAAUAGAGAUAUCAUUCGAAUUCUCAGGUGACUCAGCGAUAGGUUCACUAGAAGUUUGCAAAGUCCUAUCAUUUUUCUUUUUCUUCCUUUUAGAAGAACUAGGUAUAUCAAUAUUGUUUCUCUGAGAAUCUUGCUCGAUUCUCUUAGGGUGGCCUUCAGGAUACAAAGGUUCCUGAGUCAUUCUACCAGUUCUAGUAGCCACUCUAACAGCAUAAUCAUUUUUCUUGCUAUUCAUUUCAUCAAGCACUUCUUUCUGAGAUUUAAGUACUUGUUCUACUUGAGUGGUAACCGUAGAAGCAUGUUUACUAACAAGUUUAAGUUCACCUCUAAUAUCAGCCAUAUAAUCACCCAAGCAUUUAAUCAUAAAGGUAUUCUAUUUUAAUUGUCUACCAAAAUAAGCAUUAAAGUCAUCUUGCUUAAACAUAAAGUCAUCAAACUCAUCCAAGCACCGACUAGCAAUUUUAGUAGGAGGGACUUCAGCUUUAUCAUAUCUAUAGAGAGAAUUUACCUUUACUACCUGUGUCGGGGUAUCGGGAGGUUCUUCAUUAAAUAAGUAAUUGAGAUCAUAUACUUCUUCAACAGGCGGUAAAUUAAGACCAUGUAUUUCUUCAAUAGGAGGUAAAUUCUUAACAUCUUCAGCUUUAAUACCUUUUUCUUUCAUAGAUUUCUUUGCCUCUUGCAUAUCUUCGGGACUGAGAAAUAGAACACCUCUCUUCUUUGGAUUUGGUUUAGGAAUAGGCUCAGUAAUUGGCUCAGGAACUGACUCAGGAGGUAGCUCGGGAGGUGCCCAAUUAUUUUCAUUUGCCAACAUAUUAUUCAGUAGAAUUUCAGCGUCAACCGAUGUUCUUUCCUUGAAAAGAGAACGAGCACAACUAUCCAGGUAAUCUCUGGAAGCAUCAGUUAGUCCAUUAUAAAAGAUAUCAAAUAUUUCAGGUUUCUUAAGAGGAUGAUCAGGCAAAGCAUUAAGUAACUUGAGAAUCCUCCCCCAAGCUUGUGGGAGACUCUCUUCUUCAAUUUGCAAAAAAUUGUAUAUUUCCCUCAAAGCAGCUUGUUUCUUAUGAGCAGGAAAAUAUUUAGCAGAGAAGUAAUAAAUCAUAUCCUGGGGACUUUGCACACAACCAGGAUCAAGAGAGUUGUACCAUAUCUUAGCAUCACCCUUUAAAGAGAACGGAAAUAUCUUAAGUAAAUAAAGGUAGCGCGAUCUCUCAUUAUUUGUAAAUAGGGCAGCUAUAUCAUUUAACUUAGUAACAUGUGCCACAACAGUUUCAGAUUCAUAGCCAUAAAAAUGAUCAGAUUCAACCAAAGUAAUUAUAUCGGGAUCAACAGAAAAAUCAUAAUAAUCCUGAUCAGGCACACAGAUAGGUGAAGUAGAAAAAGCAGGGUUGGGUUUCAUUCUUCCUCUAAAAAAGAUUCUUUACUCCAUUUAAUUACAACCUCUUAAGUUCAGGUCUAUCCUGGCAAGCAAAAAUAGCUGCAGAAGAUUCAGCAUCAAAAAGAUAACCCUCGGGAAUAGCAGGCAUAGGUUCAUCAUCACUAACAUCAUCGUGUUCAGGUUCAAUAAUUUCUCUUUCUCUAGACCUAGCAAUUUGCUCAUCAAGAUAUCACCAAGUGGCACAUAGUAUCAAGCAUAGACGUAGUUUCAUCAUAAGUAUCAUGCAUAGCAGAAGUGGCAUCAUCGAUAACAUGCGACAUAUCAGAAUCAAUAGCAGUAGUAGGUUUAGGUGUCGCAAACUUACUCAUAACAGAAGGAGAAUCUAGUGCAAGGCUAGAUGGCAGUCCCUUACCUCCCCUCGUAGUUGAGGGCAAAAUAGUAGUUCGAUCAUCUUUCAAGUUCUUCAUAGUGUCCAGCAGAUAUAGAUCCCAAGUAACUCAAAGAAUAGAGCUAUGCUCCCUGGCAACAGCGCCAGAAAAUAGUCUUGAUGACCCACAAGUAUAGGGGAUCGCAACAGUUUUCGAGGGUAGAGUAUUCAACCCAAAUUUAUUGAUUCGACACAAGGGGAGCCAAAGAAUAUUCUCAAGUAUUAGCAGCUGAGUUGUCAAUUCAACCACACCUGGAAACUUAGUAUCCGCAACAAAGUAUUUAGUAGCAAAGUAAUAUGAUAGUGGUGGUAAGGGAACAAAAGUAAAGACAGUAAAAAUAAUGUUUUUGGUAUUUUGUAGUGAUUGUAACAGUAGCAACGGAAAAGUAAAUAAGUGUAAACCAGUAUAUGGAAAACUCGUAGGCACCAGAUUAGCGAUGGAUAAUUAUGCCGGAUGUGUUUCAUCAUGUAGCAGUCAUAACAUAGGGUGACACAGAACUAGCUCCAGUUCAUCAAUGUAAUGUAGGCAUGUAUUCCGCAUAUAGUCAUACGUUCUUAUGGAAAAGAACUUGCAUGACAUCUUUUGUCCUACCCUCCCGUGGUAGCGGGGUCCUAUUGGAAACUAAGGGAUAUUAAGGCCUCCUUUUAAUAGAGAACCCGAACAAAGCAUUAGCACAUAGUGAAUACAUGAACUCCUCAAACUAUGGUCAUCACCGGGAGUGGUUCCGAUUAUUGUCACUUCGGGGUUGCCGGAUCAUAACACAUAGUAGGUGACUAUAGACUUGAAAGAUAGGAUCCAGAACACACAUAUAUUCAUGAAAACAUAAUAGGUUCAGAUCUGAAAUCAUGACACUCGGGCCCUGGUAACAAGCAUUAAGCAUAGCAAAGUCAUAGCAACAUCAAUCUCAGAACAUAAUGGAUACUAGGGAUCAAACCCUAACAAAACUAACUCGAUUACAUGAUAAAUCUCAUCCAACCCAUCACCGUCCAGCAAGCCAAUGAUGCAGUUACUCACGCAAGGCGGUGAGCAUCAUGAAAUUGGUGAUGGAGGAUGGUUGAUGAUGACGACGACGACGAAUCCCCCUCUCCGGAGCCCCGAACGGACUCCAGAUCAGCCCUCCCGAGAGAGAUUAGGGCUUGGCGGUGGCUCCGUAUUGUAAAUCGCGAUGAUUUAUUCUCUCUGAUUUUUUUUCUCCCCGAAAGCCAAUAUAUGGAGUUGGAGUUGGCGUCGGAGGGCCACCAGGGGGCCCACGAGGUAGGGGGGCACGCCCCCACCCUCGUGAGCAGGGUGUGGGCCCCCUGGUCUUCAUCUUUUGUCAGGAUUUUCUUUUAUUUUUUCUAAGGUGUUCCGUGGAGUUUCAGGACAUUCCAAGAAUUUUUAUUUUCUGCACAUAAAACAACACCAUGGCAGUUCUGCUGAAAACAGCGUCACUCCGGGUUAGUUCCAUUCAAAUCAUACAAGUUAGAGUCCAAAACAAGGGCAAAAGUGUUUGGAAAAGUAGAUACGACGGAGACUUAUCAUCUGUGAAGAUAUUCACAUUGAAGACUAUGACACGAGAAGACAUUGAGUGAAGACUAUGGAGCGCGAAGACUUAGUUGUUUCGUUGCUUCCUUUUCUUCUUUGUUGAGUCAUAGGAACCACCGCACUGUUAAGUGGGGUCCAAGUGAACAAAGUCAGAGUGACUGAAGUGAUGCUCAAACCAAAUCUUAUGUCUUCGAGUGAAGACAAUGAGAGAAAAUCUUAUCCUGUUUCGGAUAAGUCAGCUUUACUUGUAGCCCAAGUCAAGCUGUCGCGUGUGUUUGAAAUCUGACCGUUGCGACACAUGUCAGUUCCUUAGUGACCCAGGGUCAUUUCGGACAAAUCCGGUCGGGUUGCCCAGUGGCUAUAAAUAGCCCACCCCCUACACCAUAAAUUGGUGGCUGCUCAGAGUUAGUACACGGCUUUUGUCAUUUGAGAGCAACCCACCGCCGAAGCUUUCGAGAGAGAAUCCUUGCGAGGACAAAGCUCAAACCACCCAGAGCCCAAAGAGUGUUUGGCAUCACUGAAGUCUUUCUGUCCGCGUGAUCUGAAGACUUGUUACACUUGAGGACUGUGAAUCCUCCAGCCGGUUAGGCGUCACGUUCUGAGCAUCCAAGAGCCAUUGUGGAUUGCCAGUGGACGAAGUCUGUGAAGGUUCGGAAGUCUACCUUGAAGACUUACCAGAGUGAUUGGGCGAGUACUAAGUGUCCUUAGCUCAAGGGGAAUAAGGUGAAGAUGCAGUCUUCUGAGUUGAAUCUCAGCCUCCCUAACCAGACAUACAGUUGUCACAGCAACUGGAACUGGUCGAACAAAUUCCCGUCCUUCUGAAGCCACUGGUUCUAUCUCUUACCUCUCUUUACUUACAGUUUGUCUUCGUAAAGUCACUGCAUGCUUGCAUUAUCUGUUUGACUUCACUGUGUGACUAUCUGUUCUGAUUGGCUUCAUACUAUCUUCCAUCCCGAUCUCCACUACCUAGAUGCUAUUAGUCUUUAUGCUUUCUCUCUACUGAAUACUUGACUAUGGCUUGUCUAGUGUAGUCUACCUUCUGUUGCAUCCGAAUAGUGUUGUUUAUAUUGUUUGUCUUCAAAACUCCCAUGUUUUGAAGACUUUCAUAAAAAUCGCCUAUUCACCCCCCUCUAGUCGAUAACUAGCCCUUUCAGUCCCAAAAUCAGUUCAGGAACGUCAUGCAUCUCAACCAUGCGAAGCUAAUCUGGGACCGGCUCUCUGAGGUCUAUGAAGGUCAUCGUACUUGUCAUAAUCCUUGGUUUGAGGAUUUCAAGGAAUCACUCGAGGAGAUGACUUUCGCACUUGAAUCAUCAUCCUCUGCACCAUGCCUUAUGGAAAAGGGUGCCAAGGUAACAGAAUUGUACAUCCCAAAUUUUCAAUUUGGAAUGUUAUACAUUAGAUCAUCAUUGCAUAUCAUAUUUUAUUGCAUUUUGGCUUGAUCCUAGAAAUUCUACGCAACUCAAGGACCCACAAGAGAGUUGGGGAUUUCGUUAUUUUCAUAUUUGAGUUUUCUCAAAUUUUAAAAAAAAAGAUCGUUUGGUUUUAAUUAUUUUCUCUUCGAAUAUUUCUUUUAUAAAAAUAAAAGAGAGGGAAUAAAAUGACUUUCCCAAAAUAAAUAAAUAUUGGAGGUUUAAUAUUAAAAUCAAAUAAUAUUUUUAUUCAUAGUUUUGUCGCUACUGUAUUUGAAUUAGGAAAAUAUGUGUUUUUCAAAAUUGCAUUUUAGGCCCAAAUAAAUGUUCACUUUGUCCGCUAUAUUUUUAGAGGACGAGGAAAAUUUAUUUCAGGAUUUUUGGAGUCCGUUUAGUAUUUCUUUAUUUUGUUUUUCUACGCGAAAUUAUUUAAAAAAAUCCCACCGACCUAGCCGGGCCGUGCCCGACUAGGACUCCAGCUCGGCCGGCCCUUUAAGAGGCGAGGGCCCGAGCCGCCGAAACCCUAGCCCCGCCCCAGCCCCACACCCCGCCGCCACGCCUUGCCGCCGCCGGACGCCGCUGCUGCCGGAGGCCGUCACCGUCGACCCCGUCGCCGCCGCCGAACGCUGCCCCGCUGGAGUUGCUCGCCGCCGCCGCCGCCGUCAUGCGAACUGUGGUAGCCGUCGGUUUUAUCCUAAAAACCAUUCGGUUUUAUUCGUAAAACCUAGAUGCGUUUUUUAGAUCGUUUUUUUGGUUUAGUUAUUUAGCGAACGCCCGUUUGUUCGUUCGUUUUAACGAACGGUGUUCACCCAUUAGCCGUAGACAGCGAACGUUCGUUCGUUAGCCUGUUCAUCAGUUUUUCUUUUUCCAGGGAUUUUCUGCGAUUAUUUUCGAUCGCAAUUUCUGCCCUGAUUUUCGUUUUAGUUUAUCUUUUCGCUUGUUUAUCGGAAUCAGGCGAUUCAAGCGCCUAGAGUUUCGUCUCGAAGCCCUCUUUAUGUUUAACCAACUUAAACAAGUUUUUGCUACUGUAAAAUUGACUUAAGUCCAGAUUAGUAAACGAAGCUUGUUUCUUUCGCAGUUUGAGUUUCGUUGCUUCGUUUGAGUUGAUUCUUUUUGCAUACCGGAGUUCUUAAGUUGAACUUUCUGGUUAGAUCUCUUAUUUGAGUGUUCCCUGUGCUUGUAGUUGAGUGCUUAUUGUAUGCUUAUUUGUUUGCGAUAGAGUACCCGGAGUGCAAAGCAUGCUACUAUGAGUCUCUAGGUUUCACGGAUCAUCAGCAAGGCAAGUAACACUUUGAUCAUACCUCUUUACUACCCAGUUUUCUUUCAUUAGAUCAAUCCUCAAACAAUUGCAUGGUUAGGAUCUGAUUAACAUGUGGGUUUUGGGAAGUGGAUGAGGUAGUACCUAUUGUCCUGUUUAUUAUCAAACCUUUGGGAGUUACUUCUACGUUGCUUAUAUUGCUAUGUUAUGCUUGUAGACGUGGAUUGGGUGACUGUAUCCAUGACAGAUGUGAGUAUUGUUAUUUAAUGGUUAACUUAAGGUGGCUACUUUAAUACACAUCUGGGUGGAUUGAGGCACCUGGGGAACCCAGUGUUGUCUGUAUUUUUGGAAAUCCCAGGGUACCGUGUGAUUCUCCUAUGUACCGCCACCCAGGCUCAAAGGGAUCAUAAGAUUAUUUAUGCUAGAAACUUCCGUGUGCAACCACAAGCUAUUAUGGGCUCUAGCAUAGUUGAGUAUGUUGCAAGACCUCUUUCAGUGGUGGGCUAGCAGAUGUAGGGGAAAGUAGGUGUAACUGUCCAUCCAGAGUAAAGAGUUAUUAUUUCAGAAAGAUUGUGUCUCGUUUCUCCGACCAUGGAUGUAUUCGAGUCUUGUGGGGAAAAGUGCGCAAACCUCUAUAGAGUGUAUAAACUAAUCAUGGUUAGCUGUGUCCCCGGUUAUGGACGUUUUGAGUAUCUAGUUCUUGGAUUAUCAUGUGGAUCUCAUCACUCUUAAUAUAUUUUGACUGGGUUUAAUGAUGAUGCUUAAUUGGGAUUGAGUUGGGUGAACCUUCUCAAUGUUUAAUAACCACCAUGAUAGUUAAAUAAAAUUUAUUCCUUUGUUGUAGAGAAAAAUUGGCUUUAUGCAAAACUGUAACCAUAGAGCUUUCCACCAUCCAUAUAUGCAUGUAGUGAUAUCAUUAUUCUGUUUAUUACUCUCUAUGUGUUACAUUGCCAGCAUAUUCCAUGUGCUGACCCGUUUCGGGCUGCAACGUUCAUGUUGCAGACUUUUCAGACGACGAGUAAGGUGCCUUAGGUCAUGAUCUUUCACUCAGUGAUGUCGUUGGAGUUGAUGGACUCACUUUAUCUUCCAAGCCUUCCGCUAUUAUCGUAUUUAGAUGGCCUUAAGCCAUAUUUAUUGUAAUAAGUUCUCUUUUGAGACAUUUAAUGUAAUAAGUGUGUGAUUGCUACUCUAUUAUAAAUCCUUCAAGUACUGUGCGUGUAGCAUUACCGAUCCAGGGAUGACACUCAUGCACAGAGAUCAGACUGUUUGAGGUCUGGUCGCUACAAGAUGGUAUCAGAGCACACAUUGACUGUAGGACAAGACUACUAAGCUAAAGCCCUAGAUCACUACUCUCUUCUCAUUUCUGACUCCUCUCCCUUUUCUACUCUUUAGGAUGGCAGAUGCAAGGAACAAGUUCACGCAACCGGAUGAAAAUACACCUUUCGGAUGCCACUUGAAGGAAGUCACCAUAUCCUGAACAUCGGAGUACCAAGCUUCACCGGGACCUACAUCUCCACUUUACCAGAAGAGGAGUGUUGGAUGAUUCGAGUUCAAGUUCCAGGAAGGACAUUCAUGCCAGUCACUGAGCCCAUAGAGUUUUCCUUUGAUGCACCAACCUGGAGUAUAGGAAAGAGCAUGUUAGCCCACAUCACCAUGGGACCCAUUGGAGAAAUGUACCACAAGGAUCUCAAGGAUACUAUCUACCAGAUUUGUGGGCGCCUAGAUGAGCAAUGGGAGAUGAUCAGCACCAAGAAGGAUAGAUCUAUUGCAGCUUUCAUCCAGGAGUUAAACCAGCACAUUCGACGCCAGGAGAACCAGAUGUGCGCGGGCAUGAUAGAUCUGAAGAAGGCAAUGACCAGGAUCAUGGAGCUGGAGGAAGAACUCAAGUCUACACGUGAUGGAUAUGAGGAGGAAAUGAGAAUACUCGUGGAGAAGAAUGACGAUCUGAAGAAGAAGCUAGGAGUAUUCAUGGGAGACCCCGCGCCAGGAGGAGAUGACGAUGAUUCCACUUGUACGGAGAACUACAUCAUCAUCGACGACACCGACUCAUACCCUGAUGAUAGUGAUGAUGACUAUGUUGAUGAAGCUGGAGCAGAUAUCAUGGAGUCUUCGACCGAUCAAUUUUUCUAGUCGACCACCAUAUCAGUAGCAGUAUUCCUCCAUGUAUAUAGUAUAGUCCGAGCACUUUGGUAACGAUAGUUAGACCAUUGUAUGCCCUUGUUUGAAUUGAUUGAAGUGAUAAUGAUUGUGUUUGUCUCAUGUGCAUAUGGGUAUUGUUUUCCCUCUAGAUCUAUUUCUAUUUUAUUUUCUCAUCUUUUCUAAAACCCUUAGAUGCCUCCGAGACGCGACAAUGGAUUUGCUUUCCCACCGGAGCUCACUCAGUUGAUCCAACAGCAGAAUGCAUUGAUGCAGAUACUAGUCCAGAAUCAGAAUCAGGGGAACAACAACAACAACAACAACCCACCAUGACCACCACCUGUUGAUCACUUAGCCCGUUUCUUGAGGCUUAAUCCGCCGGUGUUCUACAGUAGCACCGAGCCGAUAGUUGCAGAUGAUUGGCUCCACAAGAUUGGAAGGGAGUUGACCACUACAGGAUGCACAGAUGCGGAGAGAGUGCGUUUUGCCGCACAUCAGCUUGAUGGACCCGCAACAUCAUGGUGGGAGAAUUUCACAGCCACUUACCCCAUCGACACUAUCACAUGGGAACAGUUUUAGCAGGCUUUCGGAAUCGCCCAUGUUUCAGCAGGAGCUAUGGCCAUGAAGAAGCAUGAGUUUCGCAACUUGCGCCAAGGAGGACGUACAGUUGGCCAGUAUGUGGAUGGUUUUAGUAAGUUAGCACGUUAUGCCCCAGAUGACGUUCUACGAAUGCAACUAAGCAGGAGAAGUUUCUGGAAGGACUGAAUGAUGAGCUGAGCAUGAAGUUGAUGGUGGCAACCUUCAAAAACUACCAGGAGUUGGUAGAUAGAGAUCUCAUGAUUGAAGGGAAGCAGCAGCAGAUUGACAACCGAAAGAGGGAGUAUGGACAAGGGAAGUACAAUUCUGGGCUCAGCAAAAGCCUCGUUUUACCCCGAACUCGGGAGGACCUUUUCAACAUAACCAUGGAGGUCACAACCACAAUGGAGGAAGUUCGCACAACCAUAGUGGCCCCAAGAAUGGGAAUGGUAAUGGAGGAAGCAACGGCCAGAACCGUUCCAACCCAGCAACACCCGCCAAGAAAGAUCUGAGCCACAUUACUUGCUACAAGUGCCAGAAGACUGGACAUUACGCCAAUGAAUGUCCUGAAGCUAAGAAUGGGAAUGGCAAUGGAAGCUCUGGGAAGAAGCCGAACCCUUUCAACAGGGGACAAGUGAACCACCUUAACAUGGAGGACGUUGAAGCAUAGCCAGAUGCAGUAAUAGGUGAGUUUUUGGUUAAGUCAUUUACUGUAAUCAUUCUUUUUUAUACUGGUGCAUCGCAUUCAUACAUCAAGGGGAUUUGUGGAUAAGUCUAAACUGCCCACCAAGGUUAUUAGAACACCUAUGUUAGUAAGCUCGCCAGGAGCGGAUUAUAUGGCAAGCCAAGGAUGUUUUCAGAUGCCAUUGACCAUAGGUAGGCAUGUUUUCCCCUCAGACCUGAUAAUUUUGGAGUCGCAAGGUUUGGAUGUGAUUCUGGGUAUGGAUUGGCUAUUGAUGUAUGGAGGGAACAUCGAUUGUGCCAGCGAGUCGAUUUUGCUCACCACCCCAGAAGGAAGAAGGAUUAAGUAUGCAUCCCGUCAUGUGCCGAAGAGGACUCAAGUGAAUUCCUCAUCGGGAGUUGUACAGGAGGAAGUACCAGUGGUGAAGGAUUUCCCUGACGUAUUUCCAGAAGAGUUGCCAGGCAUGCCACCAGAUAGAGACAUUGAGUUUUUGAUUGAGCUUUUUCCAGGCACAUGGCCAAUAUCUAAGAGACCGUACAGGAUGCCCGCAAAGGAUUUGGAGGAAAUUAAGAAGCAGAUUAAGGAGUUACUGGAUAAAGGCUAUAUUCGCCCAAGUUCGUCACCUUGGGGAUCACCAGUGCUUCUAGUGGAGAAGAAGGAUGGAUUGUUGAGGAUGGUUGUUGAUGAUUGAGGGUUGAAUGAAGUAACAAUCAAGAACAAGUACCCACUGCCGAUGAUCAAUGAUUUGUUUGACAAGUUGCAAGGACCUAAAGUAUUUCCAAUAUCGAUAUGCGAUCAGGAUACCACCAGUUGAAGAUUCGAGAGCAGGAUAUACCUAAGACAACUUUUACCACAAGGUACGGGCUAUAUGAGUAUACCGUUAUGUCAUUUGGUCUGACUAACGCCCCUGCCUAUUUCAUGAACAUGAUGAACAAGUUGUUUAUGGAGUUUCUGGAUAAGUUCGUCGUGGUGUUCAUUGACGAUAUUCUGGUUUACUCGAAGAAUGAAGAGGAGCAUAAGGAGCAUUUGCGUUUGGUACUUGGGAAGCUCAGAGAACAUCAGUUAUAUGACAAGUUCAGCAAGUGUGAGUUUUGGUUGAAGGAAGUUGGAUUCCUCAGACAUGUUAUAUCCGGAGAAGGAAUAAUUGUAGACCCCACCAAAGUUGUCACUCUGACAAAUUGGGAAGCACCCACGUCAGUUGGAGAGAUCCGUAUUUUCUUGGACUUGCGGGAUACUACUGGAGGUUCAUUGAGAAUUUCUCGAAGAUUGCAAAGCCCAUGACGGAGUUGUUGAAGAAGGACACCAAAUUCAAAUGGACUGAGGAAUGUGAGGCCAGUUUCCAGGAGUUGAAGAAACGUUUGGUUACAUCACCAGUGGUUAUUCUGCCAGAUCAAUGCAAGGAAUAUGUAGUAUAUUGUGACGCUUCUCGUCGAGGACUUGGAGUAGUGCUUAUGCAGGAGGGAAGAGUUGUUUCAUAUGCCUCACAACAGCUUAAACCCCAUGAGUUAAAUUAUGCUACACACGAUUUGGAGUUAGCAGCCGUAGUGCAUGCAUUGAAGACCUGGAGACACUUUCUCAUCGGAAACCAUUGUGAGGUGUACACGGAUCACAAGAGUUUGAAGUAUAUCUUCACGCAAAAGGAGUUGAAUCUCGGGCAAAGGAGAUGGUUGGAGCUCAUUAAGGAUAAUGAUAUGAGGUUGCAUUAUCAUCCCAGAAAGGCUAACAUAGUAGCUGAUGCGUUGAGCCACAAGAGCCAUGUCAACACACUCAUGACCGGAGAGUUACCCAAGGAGUUAGCAGAGGAUCUUCGUGAGCUAUGUUUGGAGAUAGUUCUGAGAGGCUAUGUAGCAGCAUUGGAGAUUCAAUCCACCUUGAUGGAUAAAAUCAGAGAAGCCCAAAAGACGGACAAAGAGAUUGCCAAGAUAAAGGAAAGGAUGAAAAAAGGAAAAGCUAAGGGAUUUUGUGAGGAUGAGCACGAUACCUUAUGGUUUGAGGACUGCGUAUAUGUGCCCAAUGAUCAGGAGAUCAGGAAGUUGAUUCUGCAAGAGGCCCGUGAUUCGCCGUAUUCGAUUCACCCAAGAAAUAACAAGAUGUAUCUGGAUUUCAAGGAUAGUUUCUGGUGGACCAGAAUGAAGAAGGAUAUUGUGGAGUAUGUAGCAGUUUGUGAUGUAUGUCAGAGAGUAAAGGCAGAGCAUCAGAAGCAGCAGGAUUGCUACAGCCAUUGUCGAUACCCGAAUGGAAGUGGGAUAAGCUAGGCAUGGAUUUUAUCAUGGGAUUGCCCAGGACUCGCUCAGGCUAUGACUCGAUAUGGGUUGUAGUCGAUCGUUUGACGAAAGUAGCUCAUUUCAUCCCAGUGAAGACCACUUACACCAGUGCUAAGUUGGAAAAGAUAUACAUGACCAGGAUCGUAUGUCUGCAUGGAGUUCCGAGGACCACUGUAUCAGAUAGAGGAACCCAGUUUACCUCAAAGUUCUGGAAUCAGUUGCACAAAACUUUGGGUACCAGGCUAGAGUUCAGUACAGCCUUUCAUCCGCAGACAGAUGGACAGACCGAGAGAGUCAAUCAGAUUCUGGAAGACAUGUUGAGAGCUUGUGCGCUAGAUUACGGAUCUAGUUGGGACGACAAUUUUCCAUAUGCAGAGUUCUCUUGCACCAACAGCUAUCAAGCCAGUUUGAGGAUGGCCCCUUUUGAAGCUUUGUACGGAAGGAGGUGCAGGACACCGUUGUUGUGGGAUGAAGUUGGAGACCGUUAGUUGUUUGGACCGGAUUUGAUUAAAGAGUCUGAAGAAAAGGUUAAACUGAUUCGUGAUAGCCUCAAGGUAGCCCAGUCCAGGCAAAAGAGCUAUGCGGAUUCUCAACGCAAGGAGACAAUUUACAAAGUCGGAGACAGAGUGUAUCUUCGUGUGUCCCCACUUCGAGGAGUUAAGCAUUUUGGAGUUAAGGGAAAGUUAGCGCCACGUUUUGUGGGACCAUACAAAGUUUUGGAACGUAUGGGAGAAGUUGCUUACAAGUUGGAGUUACCCGAAGGAUUGUCAAGAGUUCACGAUGUGUUCCACCUUUCCCAGCUGAAGAAGUGCCACGCAGAGAUGGCUGAUAUUACUCUGAGAGAUACAGUGCCACUGGAAGCGAUUCAGUUGGAUAGCGAUUUGACCUACGAGGAGAAACCAGUAAAUAUUCUCGAGUUUGCCAGCUGAGUCACACGCAGCAAGGUUAUCAAGUUCUGCAAGGUUGAGUGGAGCCACCAUGCCGAAGAUGAAGCCACUUGGGAGCGAGAGGAAUACCUACGGAAGGAUCACCCUCACCUAUUUUCUAGCCAACCCGAAUCUCGAGGGCGAGAUUCAUCUUAAGGGGGUAGGUUUGUAACAUCCCAAAUUUUCAAUUUAGAAUGUUAUACAUUAGAUCAUCAUUGCAUAUCAUAUUUUAUUGCACUUUGGCUUGAUCCUAGAAAUUCUACAAAACUCAAGGACCCACGGAGAGAGUUGGGGAUUUCGUUAUUUUCAUAUUUGAGUUUUCUCAAAUUUUGAAAAGAGGAUCAUUUGAUUUUAAUUAUUUUCUCUUCAAAUAUUUCUUUUAUAAAAAUAAAAGAGAGGAAAUAAAAUGACUUCCCAAAAUAAAGAAAUAUUGGAGGUUUAAUAUUAAAAUCAAAUAAGAUUUUUAUUCGGAGUUUUAUCGCUAUUUUAUUUGAAUUAGGAAAAAUAUGUGUUUUUCAAAAUUUCAUUAUAGGCCCAAAUAAAUGUUCACUUUGUCCGCUAUAUUUUUAGAGGACGGGGAAAAUUUAUUUCAAGAUUUUUGGAGUCCGUUUAGUAUUUCUUUAUUUUGUUUUUCUGGGCGGAAUUAUUUAAAAAAAUCCCACCGACCUAGCCGGGCCGUGCCCGACUAGGACUCCAGCGCGGCCGGCCCUUUAAGAGGAGAGGGCCCGAGCCGUCGAAACCAUAGCCCCGCCCCAGCCCCGAACCCUGCUGCCUCGCCUCGCCGCCGUCGGCCGCCGCCGCCGCCGACCGCCCUCAACGCCGACCCCGCCACCGCCGCCGGACGCUGCCCCGCCGAAGUUGCUCGCCGUUGCCACCGCUGUCACGCGAACCGAGGUAGCCGUCGGUUUUAUCCUAAAAACCGUUUGGUUUUAUUCGUAAAACCUAGAUGCCCUUUUUUAGAUCGUUUUUUUGGUGUAGUUAUUUAGUGAACGCCCGUUCGUUCGUUCGUUUUAACGAACAGUGUUCACCCAUUAGCCGCAGACAACGAACAUUCAUUCGUUAGCCUGUUCGUCAGUUUUUCUUUUUCCAGGGAUUUUCAGUGAUUAUUUUCGAUCGCGAUUUCUGCCCUGAUUUUCGUUUUAGUUUAUCUUUUCGCUCGUUUAUCGGAAUCAAGCGAUUCAAGCGCCUAGAGUUUCGUCUUGAAGCCCUCUUUCUGUUUAACCAACUUAAACAAGUUUUUGCUACUGUAAAAUUUGACUUAAGUCCAGAUUAGUAAACGAAGCUUGUUUCUUUCACAAUUUGAGUUUCGUUGUUUCGUUUGAGUUGAUUCUUUUUGCAAACCGGAGUUCUUAAGUUGAAAUUUCUGGUUAGAUCUCUUAUUUGAGUUUUACCUAUUCUUGUAGUUGAGUGCUUAUUGUAUGCUUGUUUGUUUGCGAUAGAGUACCCGGAGUGCGAAGCGUGCUACUACGAGUCUCUAGGUUUCAUGGAUCAUCAGCAAGGCAAGUAACACUUUGAUCAUACCUCUUUACUACCCAGUUUUAUUGCAUUAGAUCAAUCCUCAAACAAUUGCAUGGUUAGGAUCUGAUUAACAUGUCGGUUUUUGGAAGUAGAUGAGGUAGUACCUAUUGUCCUGUUUAUUAUCAAACCUUUGGGAGUUACUUCUACGUUGCUUAUAUUGCUAUGCUAUGCUUGUAGGCGUGGAUUGGGUGAGUGUAUCCAUGACAGAUGUGAGUAUUGUUAGUUAAUGGUUAACUUAAGGUGGCUACUUUAAUACACAUCUGGGUGGAUUGAGGCACCUGGGGAACCCAGUGUUGCCUGUAUUUUUGGAAAUCCCGGGGUACCGUGUGAUUCUCCUAUGGACCGCCACCCAGGCUCAAAGGGAUCAUAAGAUUAUUCAUGCUAGAAACUUCCGUGUGCAGCCACAAGCUAUUAUGGGCUCUAGCAUAGUUGAGUAUGUUGCAAGACCUCUUUCAAUGGUGGGCUAGCAGAUGUAGGGGAUAGUAGGUGUAACUGUCCAUCCAGAGUAAAGAGUUAUUGUUUUAGAAAGACUGUGUCUCGUUUCUUUGACCAUGGAUGUAUUCGAGUCUUGUGGGGAAAAGUGCGCAAACCUCUGCAGAGGUAUAAACUAAUCAUGGUUAGCCGUGUCCCCAGUUAUGGACGUUUUGAGUAUCUAGUUCUUGGAUUAUCAUGUGGAUCUCAUCACUCUUAGUAUAAUUUGAUUGGGUUUAAUGAUGAUGCUUAAUUGGGAUUGAGUUGGGUGAACCUUCCCAAUGUUUAACAACCACCAUGAUAGUUAAAUAAAAUUUAUUCCUUUGUUGUAGGAAAAAAUUGGCUUUAUGCAAAACUGUAACCAUAGAGCUUUCCACCAGCCAUAUAUGCAUGUAGUGAUAGCAUUAUUCUGUUCAUUACUCUCUAUGUGUUACAUUGCCAGCAUAUUCCAUGUGCUGACCCGUUUCGGGCUGCAACGUUCAUGUUGCAGACUUUUCAGACGACGAGUAAGGUGCCUUAGGUUGUGAUCUUUCGCUCAGUGAUGACGUUGGAGUUGAUGGACUCACUUUAUCUUCCAAGCCUUUCGCUGUUAUCGUAUUUAGAUGGCCUUAAGCCAUAUUUAUUGUAAUAAGUUCUCUUUUGAGACAUUCAAUGUAAUAAGUGUGUGAUUGCUACUCUGUUAUAAAUCCUUCAAGUACUGUGCGUGUCAGCAUUACCGAUCCAGGGAUGACACUGAUGCACAGAGAUCAGACUGUUUGAGGUCUGGUCGCUACAAGAAUGCUACCUUUCCAAAUCUAGUGAUGAUGAAUCAGGUGAUGAAUUUGGCCCCAGCUAUGUCAAACUUGCUUCCCUUGCCACUAAACAACAAAGAGCUCUUGAAAAAGUUCAAAACAUGCUAGAUGAAAGCGAUGAUAUGUUGGGUGAGCAAUUGGAUCAAAAUAAGGCUUUGACUGAUAGUCUUCAAAAACUUCAGUCAAAGUUUGACAACCUUCAAAAUCAUCAUAACUCUCUCUUAACUGAUCAUGAGAAGCUUUCUUAUGAAUUUCUUCAGAAAAAGCAAGAUCUUGAGACGUUAAAAGUGAGUUAUGAAGAUCUUUAGAAGGAAAAUGAUUCAUUGCUCACUCAACAGAUCAGUUCCGCUCAGGAAGAAUUUAUUCCACCAUGUCUUAAACGCAUUGAGCGUGAAUCUGCUAAUUCAUCACCUGAAUGUUCAAAUGCUUCUAUUGCUGCAAAUUCUUCAACUAUCUCUGUGGUUACAAAUUCCUCAUCUAAGGAUACCACAUGUAUCACUGACGAUAAUGCAGGGCUGAAGGAAUUGUAUGUGACAGGCAUUUACAAAAGCCUCAAAGGGCAUCAUACUCUUUGUGAUGUGCUCAAAAAGCAGAUCUUGAACAGGAACCCUAGGAAAGAGGGUAUUGCCUUUGAGAGGAAACUCAAUGCUGAUGGGACCUACUGGAAACCUGAGCAGUAUAUGGGUUCAUCAUUCUUCACUGAUGAAGUAUAUGGGUUCGUAAGUUGCACUAAUUCAUCUGCAGGAUGAUCAACCCAAAGCUACUAAGCGGGUCCUCGACAGUGGAUGUACAAAUCACAUGACUGGUGACAGAAGCUUGCUGAUGGACGCUGAUUUGUCACCAUCUCAUCUGAAGCAUAUCACCUACGCUGACAAAGGCAAAAGCAAGGUAUUGGGUCUAGGUAAGGUUGCAAUCUCAAAGGAUAAACACAUGGACAAAGUCAUGCUUGUUGAGUCCCUAGGAUUCACUCUUAUGUCAGUCUCAAUGCUUUGUGAUCUUGAUAUGGUUGUUGUCUUCGGCAAAUUUCAUUGCCUUGUGCUAAUGGGAUCUGACAACUCCAAAGUCUUCGAAGGCUUUAGGAAAGGAGACUUGUAUAUUGUUGAUUUCUCUGCAGGACCACAGCCUGCUACAUGCCUACUCGCAAAAGCUUCAGAAUGCUGGUUAUGGCAUCGACGACUUGGUCAUGCUGGGAUGAGGAACUUGCAUACACUCACGAAGAAGAAGCACGUCAUUGGCAUCGAGGGUGUCAAAUUCCUCAAAGAUCAUCUUUGUGGGGCUUGUGAGGCUGGAAAGAUCACCAGAGCCAAGCAUCCCGCGAAGACUAUCAUGACCACUUCUUGUCCCUUUGAAUGACUUCACAUGGAUUUAUUUGGCCCUACUCAUUAUGCCACGUUCACUAGUUCUGCAUCAUUAUAUGGCUUUGUCAUAGUUGAUGACUAUUUCGUUACACAUGGGUGCAUAUCAUCACCUACAAAAAUGAAGUGCAGGAAGUCUUCAGACGAUUUUCCUCAAGGGCUUCCUCAAACUUCGGUGUGAAGAUCAAGCAUAUCAGGAGUGAUAAUGGAACCGAGUUCAAGAACACUGGCCUUGAUGAAUAUCUCUAUAUGCUUGGUAUUACUCACGAAUUGUCUGCUCGUUAUACUCCUCAGCAAAAUGGCAUCGUGGAGCGCAAGAACAGGACUCUUUUUGAGUUGGCUUGCACUAUGCUUGAUGAAUACAAGACAGCUGAGCGCUUUUGGCCUGAAGCAAUUGAUACCACGUGCCACAUCAUCAACAGGGUAUAUCUUCACAAAUUCUUCAAAAAGACCUCAUAUGAACUCCUCACUGACAAGAAACCCAAUGUAAGUUAUUUCAAAGUCUUCGAUGCUAAAUGCUGGAUUAGAGAUCCUCACCAUCACUCUAAAUUUGCACCGAAAGCACAUGAGGGUUUUAUGCUUGGUUACGGAAAGGACUCGCACACCUACAGAGUCUUCAACAUCAACCUUCGCAAGGUUGUUGAAACUGUAGAUGUGCGGUUCGAUGAAACUAAUGGCUCACAAAGAGAGAACCUACCUCCUAUGCUAGAUGAAAUGUCACCUGAGGAAUCCAUCAAGUUCAAAACUACUGAGGAUGUCAUCCGUACCGAAUAAAUUGCUGAAGAAGUCAUUCCUGACCUUGAAGAAAAUCAUGCUGGUGCUGCUGAAGAAACUGGUCCUGAAGAAACUGCUGGGCCUAAGCAAAGUCGUCAACCCACACAUCCUCGCAUUGCAAAUGAAGUGCAAGUCGAGAAGAUCAUCGAUGCCAUUCGUGCACCUGGUCCCCUCACGUGCUCAAAAGCUUCACAUUUAUCUAACUUUUGUGGGCAUUUUGCAUUUCUCUCUAUCACAGAGCCCACCAAAGUAGAUGAAGCAUUCAUGGAAUCCGAGUGGAUUCAAGCCAUGCAAGAUGAAUUGCAUCAAUUUGAGAUCAACAAUGUGUGGGAGCUUGUCAAGCGACCAGACCCACGCAAGCACAACAUCAUUGGUACCAAAUGGAUCUACCACAACAAACAAGACGAAAAUGGCCUUGUGGUGAGGAAUAAGGCUCGUCUUGUAGCUCAAGGCUACACACAUGUUGAAGGAAUUGAUUUCGAUGAAACUUUUGCACCUGUUUCUAGACUUGAGGCUAUUCGCAUAUUGCUUGCUUAUGCUCAUCAUAAUAUCAUCUUACAACAACUGGAUCUGAAAAGUGCAUUCAUCAAUGGUAAGCUUGAGGAAGAAGUAUAUGUUGCUCAACCACCAGGUUUUCAGGAUCCAAAAUUUCCAGAUCACGUCUACAGACUCAACAAGGCCCUCUAUGGCCUCAAGCAAGCACCUCGGGUGUGGUAUGACACACUGAAGGAAUUCCUCAUGAAGAAAGGCUUCAAACCCGGUUCACUUGACCCAACUCUUUUCACCAAAUCAUAUGGUGAUGAAUUAUUCGUGUGCCAAAUAUAUGUUGAUGAUAUUAUCUUUGGCUGUACUAACCAACAUUACAGUGAUGAAUUUUCUUAUAUGAUGAGUGAAGAAUAUCAAAUGUCUAUGAUGGGAGAAUUGAAAUUCUUCUUAGGUCUUCAGAUUCGUCAACAAUACAAUGGCAUAUUCAUAUCUCAGGAGAAAUACCUCAAGGAUGUGUUGAGGAAAUUCGGCAUGCAAGAUUGCAAAUGCGUCAAAAUUCCUAUGCCCACAAAUGGCCAUCUAUGCACUAAUGAAAAUGGUAAAGAUUUCGAUCAAAAGGUAUACCACUCCAUGAUUGGCUCCUUAUUGUACCUAUGUGCAUCUAGGCCGGAUAUUAUGCUUAGUGUUCGCAUGUGUGCCCAAUUUCAAGCUACACCGAAGGAAUUACACCAUAAGGCUGUGAAGCAUAUUCUUCGAUAUCUAGCUCACACACCAACACUUGGAUUAUGGUAUGCCAAGGGCUCUUCCUUUGAUCUCAUUGGAUAUUCAGACUCUCACUAUGCUGGCGAUCGGGUGGACCGCAAUUCAACGUCAGGCACAUGUCAUUUCUCGGACGAUCCUUGGUAUGUUGGUCCUCGAAGAAGAAGAACUGCGUAUCACUCUCCAUUGUAGAAGCUGAGUACAUUGCUGCUGGAUCUUGUUGUGCUCAAUUACUAUGGAUGAAGCAAACACUCAAGGACUACGACAUCAACGUGAAGAAUGUGCCUGUCUUCUGCGACAAUGAGAGUGCUAUCAAGAUUGCUCACAACCCAGUUCAGCACUCGAAGACAUAGCACAUCCAAAUUCGUCAUCAUUUUCUUUGUGAUCAUGUGUUGAAGGGCGACAUCUCCAUCGACCACGCAAGUACUAAAGACCAGCUGGCCGAUAUCUUCACUAAGCCCUUGGAUGAGAAGAGAUUUAGCAAGUUGCGGUGUGAGCUAAAUAUCCUAGAAUCUUCGAAUAUUCUUUGAAAAGGACACACAUCCUAACACUUAUGAUGACUUGAUGACUUAUGUGCAACACACGAAGUAACAUUUUUCUUCAAUCAAUGAAGACUAACCCUCUAAGUGUGAAGAAAUUAAUGAAGGAAUUGAUUCUCAGAACCCUACGAGAAUUGUACGCGGUGUCUGAAAUCAGUUUUCUUAUAUGGUGGGUUACGCCACCAACCAAAGUUGAAAAUCUUCAAUUUGAGUUUGUCUUCAUUUUUGAAAUUCCUCAGUUUUUUAAAUUCUUUAACUUUGCAUUGUCUUCACUCUUUCCGUCGUUGUUCUUCAUUUGACUAUAUAUAUAGGAGUAGGAUAUUCUACAAUAGCUUGCCACAGAACUAGUUAAGGUUUUCAACGGUGUAAAACUUCUUAAAAAUCAUGAAAAAAUAUAUUGAACCAACACACCUAUAAUAUAACAUGAUCCAACGGAGGGAUUAAAAAAAUGUGACUGCAUGUGUCCUGGACAAAAAUAACAAAUGUUUCAAUAUAUAUUGAUCCUGCAGUGAGCUCAAAUGCUUGUUUUUUCACUGAGGACACAUAAAUGCAUAUUUUCACAAUCACACCGUUGGAUCAUCUUAUUAUAUUAGAGUGAGGCUCCCCUAUUUAUUUCAUAUUUUUUACUUACUUUUAAACCAUUAAAUGUUUAGCAAGC